rnacentral:lncRNA from 1 species
AAGAUAGUAAUAAUGAUCGCUUGAUCAUUAUUAGUAUUUCAAUAGAUUGCCUUCUCGUAGAUUGAUUCAACGAUAUGUAUACAACAAAACAAAGCCAAUUCACACACCAAAAACACAUGACAUAACAUUACGUACUCAUAAUGAAUUAAUUUCUUAUUUUAUUAAAACACAUUUUCAAUUUCACUGCAAUUGAUUAUUGUUGCAAAAACACUCAUAAAAGAUAAACGAAAUAACUGAUUAUCAAAAUCAUUUGCAUCCCCCCGGGGGACAGUAGUAGAUAUAGUUUGCAAGAGCUUUCUUUAACUUCUCGAUCAAACACUCUUCCCUUGUAAGCCCUGAGCAAUCAACAAUUUCAGGUGAUGCUGCGGGAUUAUUAGAAAAUGAAGCAUCUGGGUGAUAUCCUUGGCUAAAACGACUGGCUGUAAUAAGUGUGCUUUUAGUGUUUGCCACUACAAGCAAAGCCAAGAUGAUGAAACUAAGACUCUUCGACAUUUUCUAUUUUUUAAGUGAAUUGUAUGCAACUUAAUAAGAAUUAAAGGAGAUGUGUGAAAUUCAGAAAGUCAUGAGCCUCUAUUUAUAUGAAUGAAUAUUGAGAAUCUCGCUACAAUGACUUUAAUGGAAUUGAAAGAUUCUAUAAAUAAGAAAAAUAAAACAUGCUGUGUUUGUUUGCAUUAAUUGUUGAUUUUAAUAUUGUGUCGCAUUAUGAAGGCAAUUUCAGUAUAUAGUUAAUUAAUGUUAUCAUUUUUAGUGUGAUUAUUUUGUUUAGUUUAUUAUUAAAUUUUUCUCUUUUUGUCAAUUGUGAAGCUAUUUUCUAAUAUAAAGACCCUCUACAAGUCUACAUUGCCUUUCAAUUGGUUUCAUUGGGUGAUUCGUGCAUAAGACUAUCUCAUUAAAUUGCAAGGAAAUUAUUAAAGAAAACAAAAAUCAAUUACGUACACGCCGGACAGUUGCUUGCUCACAGAUCUCUGAGAAUGAAUCUAUCUUUGAGUGGUUGAGCUUGAGCAAGAGUAAUUUUCUUCCUCUCCGGGUCACUUUCAGUUUCCUUGUUGGAAACUCUGUUUUUUAGUGAUAAAUAUGGAGGUUAUGUUUUCAAGGAGAGCCAAAAACAAAUUAAGGCACUACUUUAUGGAUUUACGCUGACGUCCAUUUGAUUUAGAGAUUUUGAGUAAUUACAGAGGGCUCAUUCCAACUCUACUUCACUCUCAUCUAACAAUAAAUAAAAAUUGAACUAAUAAUAAAAUUGUUUAUAAAUUUUAUUGCGUUUAUGAAUUUUGCCUAUCCAUAAAUUUAGUUACCUUAGUUGUAUUUGUAAUUUGGGUGAUGGUUGUGUUAUGAUCCUAAUUGUCCCACGAAAAUCAAACCAUGAAUAUACUCAUUUGGAUGAGCAUAAAACUUGGCAACACAGUGGGAUUUCGAUGGAAUUGAAUAUUGAAAACAAAAAAAAAAGUGUUGUACGUAAUACAGGUGACUAUUAUUCAAAAGUAAGACGCAGCGUUUUGAAUGAGCCGUAGUGCUAUACAUGUCGCUCUCUCGAUCACAAUCCUGAUUAACAAACCAUAUCGAUCCACGCAAUCAUACAAACAGACUGACACCUAACGCAGCCAAUCAAAAUCCGUACCGCAAAUUACUAAAACAUACCUACUCCAGCAAAUAAAACUACAACAAAAAUAAGCACUUGAAAAUCACACGCGCUCUCUCGAUAGUUGACGCAAAAGAGCCUGCACAUUUUCUUUUCUAUCUAAAAAUCAAAUAAAAUUCACAAAUGGCUGUUCUAGGUCUCUGAAUAUUUUAAAAGCAAAUGAAACAGUUGAAAGGAAGAAUCUGAAAUCCCUAAGCCUCAAGCAAAGCCCUUUUUUUUAUUGUUUUUUUCUUUUUUUGUGGGGGCUUAAACGACGUCGCGUUUGGUAUACCAUACAAGCCAUGGCGGAGUCGUCAUCGCCAUCUUUAUCAUCAAAGGAAGACCUAAUUCAGCUGAUCAAGCGGUUCGGGGCUUAUCUCACGGUCAAGAUGUCCAAUCUCUUCUCGAUCUCUUUCCACAACUUGGUACUUUUGUCUCUUGCUUGGCAUUGCCGUGAAUUUUUUUUUUUGUGUUUAUGGCGGAUCUGAGACUGUUUGAUUGAUAGAAAUUUAUGGGAGUAUGAAUUAGUGUAGUGAUUUUAGUGAACGUUGUUUAGUUGGUGCGUCAGUGGCUUUGCUGCUAGUAAUUAGAUAUUGCCCAAAUAAAUAGGGAUAGCAAAAUUAGAAUUUGCUUCUUGUUUUGUUUGAAUUGGAUUAAAAUAUGCGAUUAAGUAAAAUAUAUAUUGGAAAGAUUGAUACUGGAUUGGUGCUACAUUGGAGAGUAUUAAGCAUAUACAUGAAUUGGAUGGAACUAUAUUGCCGGUUGAAUGGCAAGCGAAAUUUAAUGGAACUGCUGUUGUCUUUUGAUAUCCUUAUGUAUAUAUGUGGUAUUUUAGGUCAGAAAAAGGAAAAAAAAAAAAUUCACCCUCUAGACCAUUAUAACUGUAUUCUUCACUGAUUCUUAGAUGAGGAAAGCAUUUUUCUCUAUUGAAAGUUUGUAUUUUGCAUGAUUUGUAACUAGACUUAAAGUCCAAGUUGGGAUGGGGUUGCUGUGUCUCUAACCACUAAUAUAUAAUGUAUUGUGGAUAUGACCAAGUAUUGUCAUCUGUCCUCAUUCGGUAUUAGUCCAGUAUAGCUUUCUGUAAAAAGAAUAGUUAUAUAUUCUUAAUAAAGGGUUCCUUCAGUUUUUGGCUUUUGCAUUAAGGUUAUUGGCAAUACAAACCAGCCUGGUGUAUCUCGCCCAGCCCAAGACCACUCCACUUGAUCUGAGCACAGGAAAUCUGGGUCAAUCUACGAUUGGCUUCAGAUGCAUAGCCUGAAGCUCAGAUUGAUCUCCCCAAGUUUUAGUUUUUAUUUUUUGAGAAUAAAAGAAAAAGUUCUAUGUUUUCAUUAUGUUUUGGGUUCUGACACUUUUAUCUUGGUAUCAGGAUUCACGAUCUGUUGGAGCUAUUGCAGGCCUUGCCCUUGCGAUUGUCUUUACGUGGAGGAUGUUCAGAUCUCCAGGUGCUCCUCAAAGAAGGCAGCCGAAAAGACAAGCUCCUUCAACUAGUAAUUCUGUUGGCAGCACUCAAGCUAAUGCGACUUCGACGCCUUUUGGAGCUAGUUCAUCAUCAGAAGAUUUAAGAACACAAAUUGCUGAUGCAUUAUUUCAACCAGUAAAGGUAAGCAUGUGUCUUACUUUCCGACAUUUGAGUAUGUUGUGCAUAUUUACCUUGUCCAUUAUUAAUUUGCUGCCUCUUCUCAUUUUUUCAUUUCAUUUUCAGCCAACUUUGGGACAAGUAGUUAGGCAGAAACUGAGUGAAGGAAGAAAGGUAACAUUCUUGUCCUCUCUGAUCUGCUAAACCUAAUGGUUUUAUGAUUUAAUGACUCAUCUUCUGUAGGUGACAUGCCGUUUGCUUGGAGUUAUCCUGGAGGAAAGUUGUCCUGAGGAGCUCCAGGUGAUUAUUUUAUUUUCCUGUGGAGUUCUGUUUUUGAAUUAGAAUUCAAAAUGAUUAAUUCAAUUAAUUUUCUUCUUCACAGAAACAAGUAACCGUGAAGUCCUCUGUGCUGGAGGCGCUAUUGGAGAUCACUAAGUUUUGUGAUCUCUAUCUCAUGGAAAGAGUUCUUGACAAUGAAAGCGAAGUGCGUUAAAAACCUUUUUCUUACCGCGUGUCCAUUCUUCAGUUCUUUCAAUGUUGCUAAAUGUGUGGUUUCAUAAGUAACACACUUCAUUAUCAAUAUUAGCAUGUUGGGACUUUCUGUUUCCUUGUUGAUUGCUACUGACUUAGAAUGAAGCUUACCUUUUAAGCUGUCUUAUUGCAGUGUAUCCUUAUCGUUUAUAAUUUCCAUCUUAGUUUUCUGAAUAAGCACUUGUGGCCUGUUUGUUUGCAGAAAAAGGUUCUUCUGGCUCUGGAAACUGCGGGGGUUUUCACUUCAGGUGGUUUGGUAAAAGACAAGGUAAAUCUUAACAUCGGGUUGUUGCUUUGGAAAAAUUUAAUGGAGUUCUAGUUAGACUAAAUAAGUAAAUUGUGCCUAGUACUCUGUGUUGUUUUUGAUAGAAAUUACUAUGGAUAUUGCUGCUGUUGAUAGAACCUUGACUAAAGAAUUUCAAUUAAUUUCCAUGCAUAUGUCUAAAUGUCUUUACUUUGUGUGAACUGUGUGUACAGGUUCUAUUUUGUAGUACAGAAAUUGGGCGGACAUCUUUUGUGCGGCAAUUGGAACCAGAUUGGCAUAUCGACACUAAUCCCGAAAUUGUUUCUCAAUUAGCUGUACAUCUUUUAUGAGUAGCUGUGUUUUAAUAAAUUUGGUUCUGAUUUCUAAAUUCAUUAUAUUCUGCUUGUUAUGAUGCCUGUCAUCUGAACUCACUUAUUUUUGUUACAGAGGUUUAUCAAAUAUCAGCUUCACAUUUCUCCCAACAGACCUGAACGAAGUGCAGCCAACGUGUUCAGUUCUCCAUCCUUGGAACAAUUCUUUGGAUGUGUUUGACUCAAGAACAAGUAAAAGAAAAGAGUUUUUUAAUCUUAUUUUUAUCCCCAUUUGGUUCUUGUGUGUUGCAGCUCCAUACAUGAAAAAAGUCUUUUUGGCAGUCGUCUACAAUUUGCUUGUUCUCGGAGGAAGGGAGAAGCUUCAUUUGUUUGAUUAAAAUUUGUGAAACAGCGUCGUCUGUCUGUCUGUCUGUCUGUCUGCUGGAAUAUUUUGAAAGUCUGUAAUUGGUGUCGGCAGUCGGUUUAAUGAAUAUGCAAUCAUGAACAAUAAUUUUGUUUCACUAUUACAACCAACACUCUUUCUUCUACAUUCUAGUAUAAUCCACUGUUGGCAUUUCCGAUCUUCUUCCUUAUUCCCUCAUUUUUCUGAUGCGAUUUCAAGCAAGGAUUGAAUUUCGAAAAGAGGCGUGAUCUCAUUAUGUACUCUAAUUUAAUGUUCUUCUCAAAUAAUGAUUGGGAAAAUAAACAGACUUGAAAAAUCAAUUUCAGCUAAAUUGCUGUAACAUAUGAAAUAUAAAACUUCCAAGAACAAAAGAGAGAAGAAAUUCAAGAAUAUUUUAGGAAAGCCAAAUGCAUUCUACGAAAGUAAUUUAUGGAUGAGAAAGAUAGUUUUUGAAAAAUGGUUAAUAUUAUUGGUAUCUUUAUUAUUUUAUUACUAAUCUGAGCAAUCUUAAAAUAUUUAAUCAAUUGUUAAUUGGGGGUGAAAUUAAGGUUUAGUCGUUCACUAAAGAAAGAGUAUUUGCGGCGGGCUGGGGGCAGCACAUACAAAAACAACAUUUACACAACACGAGUGAGAAGUGAGAGGGUAGGCUUUUUUCACUUUUAGGCUUCAGUGCACGAGUGAGAAGUAAGAGAAGAGGCUUUUUACUUUUAGGCUUCAGUUGGUUGGUUCCAUUACAGGAUGGAAAUUGUUUGCCCGAUCGACGAAAAGUGCGCAAGUGAAGUCUCUUGUCUUUUGCGACCUCCUUCACCUCUUCAAGUCCAGGCAACUGUGCUUCUUUAUCUGCAAACUUAUUGGCACCUUUUUAAUUUUCUUAUUGACGAAUCCUUUUGAUUUUCAAUCGCCAGGAGUACUUCGACCAGCUUAGUUCCACUAGAAAUUGCCAUGGCAUUAAAGUUAAACAAAUUAGUGAGCGUGGAAAGGGUAUCUAAAUUGAUUUUUUUUUUCUUCGCUUUUUAAUGCGCUCUUUUUUCUGUUCUUUUUUUCUUUUCUUUUUUUUCAAAUUUAAUUUGUCUUGAUCGCAAUUUGUGAACUUUAGGUGUCUAUGCUGGCAUGGACUUUCAAGAAGAGGAACUUGUUUUGAAGGACCAAAUGCUUGCCGGAAUUCAGCAUUCUUCAAACAAGGUCUUUUUAUUUUUAUUUUUAUUUUUAUUUAUUCAUUGUGUUUGCUUGCCUUGAGAGUUGAACAUUUAUGGCAUAAAUAUAUAUUUUUAUUUUAUUUCCAUGUUGCAGAUGGAUUGUCUUGUGUGCAGCUUUUGUUUUCGAUUUAUUGGUUCUAUAGAACUUCAAAUUGGGCGGAGACUGUAUUUGCAAAGCCUAGGUGACUCUGCAAAUGAUAAAUGUCAUAUGGGGUCCUCUUCACAUACAUCGGAAGAUUGUUACAAUACUGAUUCAUCCGACAUGGAGGACGAUUCUUGCAUGAAAAAUCAUGAAGAUUAUGGAAAUUGUGCUCCUGGCAGUUCCAAAGAUAAUAUCUCUCUGCCUAAAGGGUUCAUUGAAUCAUUGAUGAAUGGUGAACUGGAAUUACCCUUUUCUGACAAGUUUCCCUUGCCUUCCACCAUUCCAUGUCCUGGGGGUUGCGGAGAAGCUUAUUACUGUAGGUAAGCAUGUUAAUUGUUUUCACCUCAACAAUACGAACCAUGAGUACAAUUGACUUUUACCUCAACAAUACAAACCAUAAGUACAAUUGACGUUUAAGUGAGUACUACUGAGACUUCUAAAGAUUUUCCAUUUAAUCCCUUGUAAUAAUCUUGUCAACAUGCUGCAGCAAAUCUUGUGCAGAGGCUGAUUGGGAAUUGUUUCAUUCUUUAUUGUGCACCGGGCAGAGGUCAAAAGCACUAUCUAGGGCAGCGUUAUUGAAAUUUAUAGAACACGCUAAUGGUAAAGCUCUAGAUUUGUUGGUAAUUGCCUCUUAGCAUGUACUUAAACCAGGUAAAAUGUCCGUAGUCACUGAUUUCUGCUUCACUACUGGUUCUUUGUUCCUCUUUUAAACCUCAGGAACAAAUGAUAUUUUCCUUCUUGCUGCCAAGGUAUGUUCUGUUGUAUAUAUUUAUUGUCCAUAUAUGUUAUUUACCAUUGCACACACUACAAUACUUCAACUACCUGCAAUAGAACAUACUUUUAACGUUAGUUCAUUUUCAGGUGAUUUGUUCCAUCAUUUUAAGAUAUAGGAAGCUAAAAGCCGCUCAUCUUGAAGAACAAGGAAAAACCAAUGCAAAUUCGAAAAGUUCUAAUCUUUCCUUGCUUUUGGAAGCUUGGAAGCCAAUAUCCAUUGGAUACAAGAGAAGGUAGUUGCUAAUGCUUCUUCUUUAUAUCUUGUCUAGAGACAUUAUUUUACUUGUCUUAGGUUAGAUUUACAACAUUCUACGUUUAUGAAUCUGUGUAGAAGGUUCUAAAUGGAGUGUUAAUGUUAUGUCAAUCUCUAGUUGCUGCAACAUCAAAACAGUAUUAGUGUUUUAUAUGAUUUCUAUACUGUUGCGUGGUUAUAAGGUAUGAUUUUAUUUUUUUUUCUUUUUGGGGAGGGAUGAGAAGAAUUUUUAUAAAUUGCUUUGUAUCAGGAGAUUCACUAGCACUUAUCAUUUGCUUAGGUGGUGGGACUGCAUUGCUUUGCCAGAUGAUGUGGAUUCUUCUGAUGAAGCCUCUUUCAGGAUGAAAAUAAGAGAGCUUGCAUUCACUGUAAGACAAUUUUAUAAAGAUGGUGCAUGCAUGAAAAACCUGACUAUACAUUUCUUCUGAUAUGUCCUUUUAGUUAUGUGUUCAAAUACUGUGGAAACAUUGUACAUAGUGGUUGCUUAUUGCUAAAGCAUAUCAUAGUGAGAAACUAGGAGAUUUUAUUAGAUUGAAGAACUAGAAAUUAUUUGACCCUUUGGAACAAUUAUUCUCAUCAUUUAUUGCUUUUUCUUCUUAGAGUGAGGGAACUUGCUUUCUUGCUAUUUAUUUCACCAUAAUUGAAGGUAGAUCUUUGUAUCCUUAACUUUGACAUAUCUCACUUUAAAUUCUAUAAUUGAAUUGAAAGGAGGUAGCCUUGGUCUGGUUGCUUAUAAAAAUCUUGUAAUGUUUAUCAUGUUACCAAGUACAUUAAUUAAUCCCCUCGACUUCUUGUUUGAUGCAUUUUCUUAUAAUUAUUAACUUCUCAUCUUCAGUUUCUUGCAUUAGUAUUUGGCUGUUAUAAAUAUUAGAUAAUAUCAAAGUUGCUUGUUAUCAUGUCUAAAUUUUAUCGUCGUGAAUUGUUUCAGUCGCUGCAGCUCCUAAAGGCAGCCAUCUUUGACAGCGAGUGUGAGCCAUGUAUCCUUUUCCAAAAGUUCUUAUUGAAUUGGCACACUUCUUUGAAGUACUGUUGCAUUACCAUUCUCAGAAUUAAUAAGUUGAAUUUCUUGACUCUACAAAGUAUUCUCCCUUGAAAUCUAUGGACAUAUUAUUGGCAUGUUUGAGCUAAAUAAUCUGUAAGUCACUUUACGAAGGUUUCUCAGGGGACAUAUUUACGUAUUUAGGUAGUUUACUACUCUUGCAGGAAGGAUGUUGUUACAACAGCAUAUUGGCAUGGACUAUAUAGGCUCUCAUUUUCAAACGUUUAUUUAAUUUGUCUUCCAAAUAACAAUUUGCAAUUGUAGACAAUGUAUUUAAUUUUGGCUUCCAAAUAAUAAUUCAAAGUCCUAAAUUUACAGUGAUUUGGUUGUAGCAUCUCCAGUAGAGGAUUACUUUCUGUAUAUUGAUGAUCUUCUGCAUGGCGAAAAGGUUAGAAUGAAUCUUGUGAUUUUAGAGUCCUUUCAUUUUUGUAUGCGACCCUUCCUUUUAUGGUUUGUUGCAGAAAGAGGCUGAGAAAAUUACUCGACCAAUCCUCGAUGCUCUUGGUGAUGACUAUUCAAUUUGUUGUCAAGGUAUAAAUUAAGCUGCCUGACAGAUCAUCAUAAUUGGAGAACAAUUUUUCAGUUUAUUUCCUUUUUAUAAAUGCUGAACAACUUGUGCGAAAUGUGUCCGUAAUAGAAAAUGCUUUUUCUUGUAAAUGCUGUUUAUGUAAAACAGAUUUUGUUACAUAAGAUAUGUUAACUCUUGCACUCCUUGAUAUAUUAUUUUUUCUUAAAAUUUUCCUCAAAUGGCAAUUACCAAUGCUUUGCAUUUAUUUCCAUAUCUUAAUGAAAUGAGAUAACCAAGAUACCAAAAAUAAGACUUGUGCUUUGUUUCUUCUGUCCCACACUUGGACUAUAGUGUUCUAGUUGACUUUUGAUGAUACUUGGUGUGGCAAACUGAAUUCUUUCUUUCUAUCCUUUUUUAGUUGGCUGGUCACAUACAAACUUUAUUGUGAAAAUUUUUAUAUUUUUUAUUACAUAAAUUUUUUCUUAAUGAGCCUUUUUUCCUCCCCUAUUUUGAAAUGUUUUAAUGCAUCAGGGACUGCAUUCUUCCCUUUGCAGAGUUGUAUGAACCAUUCCUGCUGUCCUAAUGCAAAAGCAUUCAAAAGAGAAGAGGUAAUUUAAUCUUCCUCCAGAUACAAGGUGUUUGUUAUUGGUCUCAGUGCAGACACUGAGAUGCAGGCAAUUUAAUUAAUUAUUUAUAUGUGAAGGAUUCACUACAUGGUCCUUCUCACCCAACUAAUUGUUAAGUUUCCAAAGUUUCCAAUUAUUCUGGCUUUAUGUGUAACAUUGGCAUAUAGGAACGUUUUAUUUUAGUUUCUUUCAUGAUUCUAGACUAUAUCUCAUCUACUUUUUUGUUCUCAUUUGCAGGACAGAGAUGGCCAAGCAGUAAUUAUUGCACAGAGACCCAUUUGUAAGGGAGAAGAGGUAAGCCAACUCUGUUUUUGUAUAUUACUUCAGAACCUCUCAUGGAUUAAAAACCCCCAACUUAAGAUCACAACUUCUGGGAUGUGGUGUGGAGUUAUUUUAUUCCCAUUUGUCUUGAGCAAAGAGUAUUUAAAUUUGGCAUUUCAGGUUACCAUUUCAUAUAUAGAUGAGGACCUUCCUUAUGGAGAGAGGCAGACAUUACUUGCAGAUUAUGGUUUCAGAUGUAAUUGCCCCAAGUGCUUAGAAGAAGAGCCAUGACCCAUAAAAGUGCUUCUAGAAAAGAAUACAGAGCAGAUUAAGAUCAUCAGGCUUGAAACACGGCUAUCGGGAUACAGGAAGCUGCUCCUUUAGCAUAUCAUGCCUUCAGCCGUUCAUCUGCCACCAAAUGCUAAUCAACGUGCCCCAGUUCAGCUUCACUAUUUUCUUAUUACGAUUUGGUUGUUAUUAAUAGAAUAUUUGAUGUUUAUUUUUUUUUUGAAAAAGACAAUUAUUUUUUAGUCACUCUUAAGUUAGUCUGGCAAGCAUCUACAACAUUAUUUAAGCUAGAAACUAAUUAAAGACCAUACAAGCAUCGAUACGCUAUGCCAAUGUAAGAUCAUCUCUCUUCCUUGCUUCAGUUACAAGAAGUUGAAUGUUCAAUAAGCAAUCAAAAGCCUCACAAUGCUGAUAAUAGACGGUCAGCGAAUAAUCAACCUACCAUCUGGAGUUGCAAUUUCCUGCAAUCAUUGCAGAUUAAUCAUUCAUGUAGCUAGUGACAUGAUAAUCUUCGUAUUUGUUAUCAACUCAUCGCUCAUUCCGUGUAUAAUGAAACUACGUAACUUGUACUGGAAUACACAUUCAUCUGAGCUUAUUAUAAUUUUGUAGGAUGGCAAGUACAAGAACAAGGCAAAGAAGUUAGAAAACGAGGUGAGGUGUUUGAUAAACAAAGGAAAUGCAGAGCGGUUGGCAAUUCUACUAGAUAAUCAGCGGGUACCACUUUGUAAAUGAGAUAAAGUAUGCCCUUGACAGAAUUUUCUUUUGGGAAGAGUAUGAUCACAUUGAUGCACAAACAAUCUCCGCGCUGCUGCUCUCAGAUUCAGGCUGCUUAGGCAACACGGCUAUGAAAUUUCUCAAGGUGCUCACUGCUCACUUCCUUAAUUACUAUUCAUUAGAAUUGUUCAUUCGCAUUACAGCUGUUCACCCCCAAGUGCUUAUGAUUCCUAUUUAAUUACUUUCAAAUCGUAUUAAACCAACUAAGAGUUGAUAACCCAAGACUUUGAUGGACCAUGAAGGCAAGUUCACGGCACAUUAUGAAAACGACAUCUAAGGAAUGCUAAGUUUGCUUGAGACUUCACAUCUUGCCUUUGAAGGAGACAUGAUCUUGGAUGAGGCCUUAACAUUUUCAAGAACACAUGUUAAUGAACCAAUCAUAAAAAAGAUAGAUAACCCAGCCAUGUCAGAACUUGUUAGUCAUUCACUUGAGCUUCCGUUGCAUCAUAGAACGCCAAAACUAGAAGCACGGUGGUAUAUUGAACCUUAUAAAACAAAAGAAAAGACUCAAAUUACUUGUUACUGGAACUGGCAAAGCUGGAUUUCAAGAGGGUGCAAUUACUAUACCAAGAAGAUCUUCAGGUUUGCCGGGACUGGCUGAUGGAAUGCUUCAUUUGGACGAUUGAAAUGGUUCCUGAACCACAACGUAGUUGUUGAGAAUUUGACCUUUGUAAAGCAGAUCACUAUUCACCCCAAGACCUGAUUCAGAUUCAAAGAACCAAGACUCACACGCACACAACUCACUCAGAUCAAGAAUAUGACACAGAAAUAAAGAACACAUGAUUUAAGUGGUUCAGCACCAGAUGUUGGUGCCUACAUCCACUGAGAAACCAAGCACUGCGUUUUCACUAUUAUUGAGCUCAAAGCGUACAAGAAUUAGGCAGUGAUUACAGAAAACACAAAUGGUUAACACUUUCUUUCUCCUCACACCUCUAUUCUCUCUUUUCGGAUGAAGAAGAUGAUUCCAGAACCAGCUCUUAUACCCUGCAUUCUGGGUUUGUUAUCCUUCUUGAUUUUCCUCCAAAACCAAUGACUUGUAACAGCCGAACACACGUGCAAAUAACGUGACUCUUUAAGUGAUUCCAAAACGCCAAUGUUUCAUGUCGUUUUGAGCUAAGGUUAUAGAGUCUCUAGCACGUGCUCUGCAUGUGUAUUACUUAUGCCUUUGUAUGACAGAUUCAACCCUGUCGUUUUCAAGUUAAACACUUGACGGACGACAUAUCAUACACUCAUACAUUAAGCAUCCUGUACGUCGGUCGUGAUUAUUGAGUUCAUACUCCAACAAUCUCCACCUUGAACUCAAUGCCCUUAUUACUCCUCAGUGCUUCCUUUCUCAAUACUUGUAGUUGUUUAAAGUCUACAAAUUCUUGCUAAGUUCAUACAGAGACUGAACUUAGCAUAUGAUACUAUUUUUGUUAGCAUAUCAGUUAGAUUCUCUUUAGUGUUUAUCUUCAGCAUCUUUGCAGCACCCUUUGACACCUCAAGCCUUACAAAAUGCAGUCUCACAUCAAUGUGUUUAGUCUUCUCAUAAUGUGCUUGACUUUUGCUGAGAUGUAUGGCGCUUUGGCUGUCACAAUACACAGUUGUUGAGCCUUGUUGUACCCCUAAUUAUGCAAUUAUUCCUCUUAGCCAAAUAGCCUCUUUGAAUAACUCUGCAGUUUCUGUGUAUUCAGCUUCUACAAUUGACAAGGCAACUAUACUCUAAAGUGUUGCCUUCGAACUUACAGUACAACUACCUAAAGUAAACAAAUAACUAGUUUGUGACCUUCUUUUGUCAAGAUCCCCAGCAAAGUCAGAAUCAACAUAGCCUACCAAGACAUUUCCUCCCUCAUUCAACCCACCAUAUACCAGAUCUACUCCAUGGUUCCUCUUAGGUAUCUCAUUAUCCAUUUCACUACCCUCCAGUGAUUAACUCGUGGAUUUGUCAUGUAUCUGCUCACCACACUCACAGCAUGUGAGAUGUCUGGCCUGGUGAGCACCAUGACAUACAUGAGACUCCCUACAACAUUGGAGUAGGGAAUCUUGGCCAUUUAUUGCUGUUCUGCAUCUGUUUGAGGGUAUUGAGCUGCAGACAGCUUGAAAUGACUUGCCAAUGGUGUUUAAACUGGUUUGGAAUUAUGCAUACCAAACCUGAGUAAAACCUUUUUGAGAUAGUUCUAUUGUGUUAAUAACAUAGUCUUCUUUUCCCUAUUUCUGACUAUCUUCAUCCCCAAAGUCUUCCUUGCAGUCCCAAGGUCUUUCAUCUCAAACUCAUUACUCAAUAAACCCUUCAAAUGAUCAAUCUCCCUCAUGUCCUGACAUGCUAUCAGCAUAUCAUCCACAUACAAUAAGAGAUAGAUCAUACCUUCUUCACUUAUCUUCUUAAAGUAUACACAACAGUUAUAACUGCAUCUGUUAUAGGCAUGACUAAUUAUAAAGCUAUCAAACCUUAGAUACCAAUGUCUAGAUGAUUGUUUCAAACUAUAGAGAGAGUUUUUUUAGCAAACAUACAUGAUCUUCUUUCCCAGGCACUACAUACCCUUCUGGUUGUUGCAUUAUUAUCUUUUCUCGUAGCUCACCAUGCAAAAAAGUUGUUUUGACAUCCAUUUGUUCAAGAAACAUAUCUUGAACAACAAUAGGUGCCAAAAUAAUCCUAAUAGAUGCAUGUCUUACCACUGGAAAGAAGACUUCAUUAAAGUCAAUUUCUUCUCUUUGUGUGAAGCCUCUGGCCACCAAUUUGGCUUUGAACCUUUUCUUUUCAGCACCUGGUAUUCUUUCUUUUACCUUAAAGAUCUACUUGCAGCUUACAGUCCUCUUCUUUUCUGGUUUUCUCACCAAUUCCUGGGUUUCAUUCUUCAUAAGAGAUUAAAUCUCUUCAUCCAUUGCCCUUUUCCAGUUCAGCCUGUUCUUGCUUGUCAUUGCUUCUAGAUAAGUUCUAGGUUCAUCAUAAUUUAUUUCAUGAGCAGCAGAUAAAGCAUAGGCAAUUAAGUCUGAAACAAUAUAUUUUCUAGGUGGUCAUAUAGUUCUUCUUUCUAUGUCCCUUGCUAACUGAUAGGUAUCACCUUCACUCUCAACUGAUUUCGAUCUUAUUUCAACAUCAGAUUCUUCAUCAGCAUUUCCAGAUUUUUCAGUAGCAAGUGGUUCAAGCUUCUGUUUAUCUCCAGGCUCCACCUCAAACUGAAUUGUAUCAUGUUAUGAUAUUUGUUUGUCUUUAAUAGCUAUAGUAUUUCUUGACUUGUUCAGCAUUUCUAAUUCUUUGAAGGUGACAUCCCUACUUAUUAUACACUAAGGAGGUUUAACAUCAACACACCACAGUCUGUAGGCUUUGACACCUUCAGAAUACCCUAGAAACUUGCAUCUCAAAGCUCUAGCUUCUAAUUUCCCUUGCUUCACAUGUGCAUAGGCUUUACAACUAAAUAUUCUAAACUUAGAAUAAUCAACCAUUUUCCCUGACCACAGCUCUAUUGGUGUCUUACAACCUAUUGCAGUUGAUAGACUUCUGUUCACCAGAUAGCAGGUAGUAUUCAAAGCUUCUGCCUAAAGAGUUUUAGGCAAUUUUGAGUGAAUCAACAUACACCUCACCUUUUCCAUUAAAAUUCUAUUCAUCCUCUCAACAAGUCCAUUCAACUGAGGUGUAUAUGUGGCUGUUUUAUGUCUCAAAAUACUAUUCUUCUCACAGUAGUCCUCAAACCGCUUAUUGCAAUAUUCCAGACCAUUGUCUGUCCUUAAAGCCUUAACCUUCAAGUUUGUUUGAUUUUCAACUAGAGUCUUCUAAUUUUUGAACUUGUCAAAAACUUCAUCCUUGCUUUUGAGCACAUACACCUAGACUAUUCUUGAUAAAUCAUCAAUGAAGGUAAGAAAAUACUUACAAUCACCUGAUGUUGUCACCUGUGCAAGGCCCUAUAAGUCAGAGUGUAUGUAGCCAAACUUUUCUUUGGCAGUAUGAGUUGCAGCCUUAAACUUUAACCUAGAAGGCUUGCCUAGGAUACAGUCUUCACAUAAUCCCAAAUUAUCCAACUUGUCAUUGCCAAACACUCCUUGUUUUUGAAGUUCCUUUAACCCCUUCUCACUCAUGUGCCCCAACCUUAAAUGCCACAAUCUUGUUUUGUUUUCACCACUGUUAGUCACACUAGCCUCACCAAUAGUUGUUUGUCCUUCCAUCACAUAAAAGCCAUUUACCUUCCUACCCUUCGUGAUAACCAUUGAGCCCUUAAUAACCCUCAAGACUCCUCUUUCAUCCUUAACUAUACACCCCAUUUGAUCUAACAUACCAAUAGAGAUUAAAUUCCUCUUUAAAUCAGGAACAUGUCUAACUUGAGUUAGCUCCCUAACCACACCAUCAAACAUCUUAAGGCUAAUUGAUAUAAUACUAACUACUUUACACAUAGAGUUAUUCAUCAUUAGCACAUACCACCAUUUCCUGACUGAUAUGAAGUAAAGUAGUUUUUAUUUGGACACAUAUGAAAAGAACGGCUUGAGUCAAGAACCCACUGACCUUGAACAUUAUCUUUUGAGGUUGUACUUAACUUAAAAUGAUGGCACUGCAAAGAAGAUAGUUGCCUCAUGGCUUGUAGCCAUGAUAAUUGUAGCAGAGAAGGUGUUGCCUCAAAGGCCAUUCAUACAAGACUUAUACAAUCUCAAUUUUGAUUUAUUUGAUAACAUUACUAGCUUUAUGCUAUGCAGAGUAGGUUAUAGAUUACUUGGGGCCUUGGGCAAAAUUUUUUUUUACAAGGCCUUUCAGUUUUAACACUUAAAGAAACAUAAAAUAUCUUAAAAUGCAAUCAAUUUUUGACAACUUGAGUACUAAUAAUCAACAAGGCAGUAAGAAAUUUCAAAAAGAAAAAUAGUCAAGAAAUAUAUAUAUAUAUAUAUAUAUUUACUUGUUUCAAAAUUAUUAUUUGAAGAAAAUAUUUUAUUUUACUUCAAAAAUGAGCAAAUAGACAUAAUAAUUUUCCUUAUAGAGAAAGACGCAAGGAAUAUUAUAUGUUAAAUGAUAAAUUUUUUUAAACUCACAAAAAUGUAAUGGUUUUUCUUGAAAUAACUAAUAACGAAAAACAUUAUUAACUAUAGCUCUUUAGUAAUAAUGCUAUCAAAUAUUGAAUUUGUGUAAAAAUUCUUAAUAAUAGGAUAAUUAUUAAUUAAAAAGAGGCCUAAAAAAUAAGCUUUCCUAUUGUAAGUAUAACCUAAGAUAUCUAUUAAUUUGACCAUAUCAAGAAAAUACUAAAAAAAAUCUUCUUAACAUAUAGAGCCGAGACAACCACAAUUGGACUAGUCUAACAUAUGGGGCACUAGGCAGCAACUUGGUUCACCUAUGUUUAAAGUCACCCCUGUACGCUAGGCAAUAGGCUCUUACCACAUACAAAGGAUUAACUAAUUGCCAAAUCAGACUAUCUGAAAGGAAUAAACAAAACCAUAAAGUCAUAGAUGCUUACAACUUCAUUUGCUAUUAAAAAACGCAAGUUAAAAAACUUGAUCAUAAUUUAUAAAGCAUGCAUGACAUUGAAUUUAAUUAUAUAACUCACUUAAAUGCUGGCAUGGCACUGUACUUAGCUUAAAAUGAUGACACUGCAAAGAAGGUAGUUGCCUCAUGGCUUGUAACCACGACAAUUGUAGCAGAGAAGGUGUUGCCCCAAAGGCCAUUAGCCUCAGUAUAAAAGUGUAUAGUCUCGUGAUGAGCAUUAGAUAGUACAAUUACUUAUAGUGACAAACUUGAUGAGUUGGCAAAUGAGGGUUAUAUAAACUAAAGGAAAAAGUUUAAGGUUAAUUUGAAUAUAAACAUUUAGCUAAUGGAAAACACAAGAGUAUAUAGAGUUAGGAAGGCAUAUGAACACGUAUGUUGCAAUAAUUUGUUAGUUGAAAUGCUCAACUAUCACCAUCACCAUUCACUACAAGUUUUCAAUUUUUUUACCUAUAUGUAUAGACUUUUGAUUGCCCAAUAUGUGCAAGCCUUUUUGUUUUUUGGUCUGCUAUAUCAGUCAUUUGAUACAAUAAGGAAAAAAUUGAAUUAAUCUAAUGGAAUGAUAAAAUCAAAUCCUAUAAACGAUAAAGAACAUUGACGAUCUAUUUAGAGUUGUUGAAUGAAUCUUACUAAUGGAUCAUGAGGGCUGAUCUAUCAUUAUCUCAACCUCCUCAUUCAUACAAGCUAACUUAACCAAGUGUACGUAAUUGAUUUUUGUUUUCUGAUAACUCUAUGAAAAUGAGAGUUAUCAUGACAUUUUUAGACUUAAACCAAUAUUAUUUGGAUAGUAAAUGACGUGUUUUUAUUACAUUUUUAGUUAUAUUUUGCUUGAGCAUUGGUUUAAGUUUAUUUUUAAUGAAUUGAUUUUGUUUUAGAUCACUUUGUACUCUAAAUAUGUCCGUAAUUGCAGGUGAUUAAAAAAAAAACUCAAGUUUUAGGGAUGGAUUGCUGUAGCAGCAGACUUGCAGAGUUGACAAAGAACUUGGCUGCGGAUGAACUAAAACAAGUCUAAAUCAAAAGAGGUGUUGUAGAUGUUGUUGCAGUAAUCCAGAAGCAAUUGCAGACAAGAUUGCAUGCGUGUUAACUGACAUGGUUUCGACAGACGGCAUAAAAAGAUUGUGAUCCAAGGUAUCCAAAAAAGGGAGGCACGCGGCAAUAUGCUUUUGGUUGCCUUAAUUCCAAGAUUGAAGAAGAGCACACAUGAAAGAAAAAAAGAGGAGAAAGCCAUCACUCAAGAAAAAUGACAAAGAAAACAAAGGAAAACAAAUAAUAAGAGAGAUUUGAGCGUUGCAGCAAGGGAUUUCAAAAGAAAAAAUGAGAGAUUGCAAAAAUUUAGCGGAACUCAAUUCCUCAUCUUUAUUUUCUUGUUUUUAUCUCUUUAUGGGAAUGUAUUCGAUGGAAAAAAUGAUUGAUGCUAUUGUUUUAUUGCAUAUCAUAAAUAAAACUUUGAUGCAAUUAGGUGUUAAACAAGCUUAAUGGUUAUUUGACUUAUAUAUGUGUGUUGCUCAAAAUCUGCUAUAACAUUUUGUUUGAUUUUACUUAUUGUAAAUCCCUAUUUUGGUUGACCACUCAUUUAGUGGAUACUAGAUAAGAAGGGGUCUUAAAAAGGUCUGACUUAGUGGAACAAAUCAAGACAAUUGAAUUAAUCUCAAUUUGAGUAGGGCCAUGUUUAAUCUAAAAUUAGUGAAAAACUAGAUAUAAGGAUUCAACUUGUAAGGCGAUUAGAACCUAGAACACAUAAUACUAUAUCUAAUGUUAGCAUAAUAGCCGGUCAGUAUUAGGUUACAUAUAGAUAUAAUAUAUCCAAAAUGCAACAACUGAGGAUGCAUAAGGGAUUCAGCUCAGUGUUGUAGUAGAUGAUGUAGCAAUAAUUCUGUAAUUGAAAAAAUUGUCAAUAUCAUUAAGUGAGUUUAAAUACUCAACUACUCCUCUCCUAUUGAUUACAUCCUUACGUUUGACUUGAGAUUUUUCUUAUUGCAUUUUGUUCAUUACAUUUUUAAUUUAGUUAGUUAAUUAAUUUUAUUAAUUAUUUUAUUUUAAUUUGGACUGAAAUUGCACUGUUAAGAUUGCUGAAGCAAGUCUUAUAACAUCAAUCCUUGUGGAGAUGUUAUGAAUAUUUAUCAUUCUAUUACUUGUUAUGUACACUUACACAUUGACACCUAUAGUAAUAAGCAAUCAACAAGUUUUUGGUGCCGUUGUUGGGGAUCGAAUGCUUAUUGUGAUUUAUGAAAUCAAUUUUAGUUGGUGAAAAUUUUUAACUUUAUAUUAAUUUGUUUACUGGUUGACUGAAGUGCUCUAACAACCCUUGUAUGCACAAUUACAAACCUGUUGAAUUCCAAUUUGAUCCAGAAAUUAAAAAACUGCAAGGAGAUUUAUAAAAGAGCAUUAGAAAUUUAAGAUCUACUGCCAACAUGGAUGAUUUGCAAGAAAUGAGGAAUUUAAACCCUCGAGGAGAAAUAGAACCAGUCAAUGCAUAAGGAGGUUAAGAAGGUCAGAGUAAGCAGAUUAUUCAUGGGCAACCAGGGAACAACAAUAUAUAUCUACAUGGCAGAUGAUAGAGACAAAGCCAUUAUAGAUUAUGCAAUGUUGACCCCUCAAGCCAUAAAUCCUAGAAUAGUUAAACUUGAAGUGCAAGAUGCAAAUUUCGAGCAUAAACUAUUGAUGUUUCAAAUGCUUCAAAUAGUGGGGCAAUUCAAUGAACUGCCUUCAGAAGAUCCCCACCUCCACCUUAAAUUUUUUUUAAAGUAUAUGAUGCUUUCAAGAUUGUUGGAGCAUCACAGGAAGCAUUGGAACUCGGACUCUUCCCAUUUUCUCUAAGGGAUCGAGCAAGAGUAUGGUUGAACCCUCUACCACUUAACUCCAUUACUAAAUGGAAUGACUUGACUGACAUAUUUGUAAUGAAGUGCUUCCUACCUACCAAGGAUGCAAAAUUGAGAAAUAAGAUCAUAUCUUUCCAUCAACUUGAAAAUGAAAGUUUAUAUGAUGCAUGGGAAAGAUUAAAAAAACUACUUAUGAGAUGUCCGCACUAUGGUAUUCCUUACUGUAUACAAUUGGAAACUUUCUACAAUAAUCUUAACCCAAGCACUAGAUUAAUGGUAGAUCCUUCAGCAAAUGAGACCUUGUUAUCUAAAUCUUAUAAUGAAGCUUAUGAAAUCUUAGAAUGGAUAGCCAAUUAAAACUAUUAGUGCCCAUCAACCAAACAAGAUACAACAAGAGGAACGACAGGAGUUUAUAAUGUAGACACCUUAACAAUAUUAUCAGCUUAAGUAACCUUAUUAACAAAUAUGGUAAAGGAUAUGACUACUGCUCCAGUAGCUGUCAACCUAAUUGCUGAGGUAACCUGUGUUUAUUGUAGGAAAGGGCAUCUGUUUGGUAAUUGUCCUGAAAAUCCUGCUUCAAUCAACUAUGUUGGCAACUACAAUAGACAGAACUAGAACAAUCCUUACUUAAAAACACUUACAACCCUGAAUGGAGACAGUACCCAAACUUCUCAUGAAGCAAUCAGAAUCAACAUGCUUCAGUUUCUAGUGGACAUAAUAGGCCUGCUCAACCACCUGGAUUUCACCAAUAAAAUCAAGGGAAAAAAACCAGAAAUGAUCAACUCAGUUCUCUUGAAGCUUUGAUUAAAAAGUAUAUUAUGAAGAAUGAAACGGUUGUCCAAAGCCAAGCUGUUUCCUUGAAAAACUUAGAAAAAUAGAUUGGACAGCUUGUUACAGCUUUAAGCAAUAGACCACAAGACAGUUUAACCAACAACAUAGAGGAUCCAAGAAGAGAAAGAAAAAAACAUUGUAAAGUGAUUAAUUUUAGAUCUGGAAAUGAUGUUCACAUUCUAGUUGGUGUAUUAAAAAGAAGAGUUGAAUAGCUCAACCCAUGAAGAAUCUCAAGUUGAAAAGGAAUUACAACCUUCCACCUUCCAGCACACUGGUGUAAUCAACAAAACUACAGCAUCUGUAGAAAAUGAUGAUCCAACACAUGUUGGUGAAGAUGUUGCAACACCAACCACAUCAGUUCUGAACAUGGCAAAAGAAAAGCAGUCUGUACAACCUGCUACAGAACAAUAAUUUAGGCACCUACCAUAUUUUCCACAAAGAUUCCAAAACCAAAAACAAGACAUGCAAUUCAACAAAUUCUUAGAUGUGUUGAAGCAGCUACAUAUCAACAUUCAUUUUGUGGAAGCUCUGGAACAAAUGCCAAAUUUUAUAAAAGAUAUUUUGACAAGUAAAAUAAGGCUUAAAGAGUUUGAAACAAUUGCUCUAACAUAAGAAUACAUCCAUAUGCUUCAGAACAAGAUACCUUAAAAAUUGAAGGAUUCAGGAAAUUUUACAAUCUUAUGCUCUAUAAGAACUAAAUACAGUGGUAAGGCACUAUAUGAUUUGAGGGCUAGCAUUAAUCUCAUGCCUUUAUCAGUGUUCAAACAAUUAGGAAUUGGAAAAGUUAAACCAACAACAAUGACUUUAUAACAUGCUGACAUAUUACAUGCUUAUCUAGAAGACAAGAUUGAAGAUAUAUUGAUAAAAGUGGAUAAAUUUAUUUCUCCAGUGGAUUUACUGAACUUUGAGGCAUAAAAAGAAGUACAAAUCAUUUUAAGCAAACCUUUCUUAGCCACAUGAAAGACUUUAAUUGAUGUGCAAAAAUGAUAACUUACUACAUGGAUUAAUGAUCAACAAGUUACAUUUAAUGUAUUAGAUGCCACGAAGAGUCCAGAUGAUGUUCAAAAAUGUAAUUUUAUCAGUGUUGUGGAUUUUGCUAUAACAAAAAGAUUAAAUAGUUGCUGCAGCAAUGAAGAAAUCAAGGCUAUAACAUUUGAAGAACUUGAAGAAGAAGAUCUUGAAACAACUGACAUAGCAUGGUGAGGAAAGAAGCAACUCGUGAGAACUGACAAGUAAUUUAAAUCUCUUGAUCUUUCAAACAAGGAUUUAAAACCUUUUGUUCUCUCGAUUGAGUCACUUCUUAUUUUAGAAUUAAAACUUUUACCUUUACAUUUGAAAUAUGUUUAUCAUUGUGACAAUGACACACUUCUUGUAAUCAUUUCAUCUUCUUUGAGUACAAAAUAUAAGAAGAGCUUGGUGAAUGUAUUGAGGAGAAACAAAAAGGUCAUUAAAUGGACCAUGGCAAAUAUCAAAAGAAUCAGCCCUCCAUAUGUAUGCACAAGAUUUUUCUAAAAGAUUGCCACAACAACUCAGUAGAGCAACAUAGAAGAUUAAAUCCCAUCAUGAAGGAAGUUGUGAAGAAGAAGAUCAUCAAGUGGCUUGAUGCCGUAAUCAUUUACCCAAUAUCAGACAACUCAUAGGUAAGCCUAGUACAAUGUGUUCGAAAGAAAGGUAAAGUAAUAGUUGUAGCAAAUGAAAAGAAUGAGCUCAUUUCCACAAGAACAGUAACUAGAUGGAGAGUCUGUAUAUAUUAUAGGAAGUUAAACAAAGCCACAAGGAAAGAUCACUUUCCAUUACAUUUCAUAGAUUAAAUGCUGGACAAAUUUGCUGGAAAAGAGUAUUACUGUUCCUUGGAUAGAUACUCAGGCUACAACCAGAUUGCUAUAAUAUCAGAGGAUCAGGAGAAGACAACAUUCACUUAUCUCUACGGAACAUUUUCUUUCCAAAGGAUGCCAUUUGGCCUGUACCAUACUCCAGCAACUUUCCAAAAGUGUAUAAUGUCUAUUUUUUUAGAUAUGGUUGAGCAAACACUUGAGGUAUUAAUGAAUGAUUUUUUAGUUUUUGGGGAAUCAUAUGAUGAUUGUUUGCAUAAUUUAGAAAAUAUGCUUAAAAGAUAUAAAGAGACAAACUUAGUGUUAAAUUGGGAAAAGUGUCAUUUAAUGGUACAAGAGGGGAUAAUGUUAGGUCAUAUGGUCUCUAAAAAGGGAAUAAGUAGAUAAGGUAAAAAUAUAUGUGAUUAAUAAACUUCCACCACCUACUUCAAUUAAGGAUAUAAGGAGUUUCUAAGACAUGCUGGAUUUUAUAAAGAUUUAUUAAGGAUUUUUUUCCAAAAUAUCCAAACCUUUAUGCAUGCUGCUGGUGCAUGACAGACCCUUCAAUUUUAAUGAGAAUUGCUUAAAGGCUUUUAUGGAGUUGAAAAGUGUCCUUGUUACAGUGCUAGUUAUUAUAGCACCCGAUUGGAGUAUGCCAUUUGAGUUGAUGUGUGAUGCUAGCGACCACUCUGUUGGAGCAGUGCUAGGGCAGAGGAAAGGCAAGAAUUUUCACUCCAUUUAUUAUGCCAGCAAGACCCUAGCUGAUGCACAACUCAAUUAUACUACCACUAAAAAAGUGUUGAUGGCAGUUGUUUUUAUAUUUGAUAAAUUCAUAACUUAUUUAGUUAGUACCAAGGUGACUGUUUAUACUGAUCACUGUUGAUUGAUUUCUAUAAUCAAUUACUAUCAAUGCCAAUGUGCAAGUAUACACAACAAGUAAUAAAGUGAUGAGUAUUCAAGAUUGUCUCCUCAGGGAUUGAUGUUACUCCAAAGUGCUAAAGCAAUCACAAUAGUGCAAAUCAACUAAAAACCGAAACAAUCAAUUGUCCAAUAAUUCUAUCGUAACUAAUAAUUGUGAAAGAUGGAAAUAGAACAAUACUAUAAUGAAAUAAACUAAGUUAACUGUGUCUAAGAUUCAAUUGAGAAUAUAGUAGUUGAAUUAUCAAACUCUCCUAAUGGGGUGACUGUUGUUUACCAAAUUAGCACCAGUUGUUACAAUAAGUGCUGCAGCAAUGGGUAGAAUGAAUCUGCAUCCGCAGCUAUUGCAUGUUGGAAAUCUCAUACCUUUAAAUCUACUAACAAUGACCAGUUGCUCAUAUAUUUAUGGUACGACAUUAUAACUUUUAAUCUCUCCACCUUACAAGGUGAACACCUAUGUCUAGAGUGUCACAAAUCUUAACUUCAAGUAUUGCCCUUAUGGGAUUUAAGGUAACCUAAUUUAGGAAACUCGACUUAAGAACAAGUAAUACUCUAAUAAUAUCCGCUAAGACAUGCUAUUUUGCUGCUCUAUCUUAACUGAAACUAUUAAAUGGGUGGUCAAUCGAAAUAACAGUUGUAUUCAUAAAAACUACUAAAGUAUAAUGCUACAGCAUUACCAUAACAACAUAAAAGAACAGUCAAGAACCCAUUGGAUUAUUUGUCAUUCAACCACAAGUAGCUUUAGUUCAUAAUCUGGAUGAGAAAAGUAAACAUAAACAUAUUGAUCUCAGAAUACAUCCAAACAAUUCAAGGAAGAAGAGAAAAUAUAAGUUGAGCACGAUGAAAGACAAAUAAUUCUACACGGUUCUUUUCUUUGGUUCUGAAUAUCGCUCCUCAAUCUUGAUCUCCUUCUUCUUGCCUUUGUAAUUCUUUUUUAUGAUAAUUCCUUGCCACCUUUCUAUGUGGUGCACGCCUCCUUUUAUAUUGCAAAUUAGGGUAAAAAAACCCAAGGUCCAUGCGCGUGCAUGCGUUUAAAUUAGGAAGCAUGCGGAUCGCGAUUUUAUAGCUGACCCACGCUUUAAGCUUUCUCCCGCAUUGCUCUCUGAUUGCUGCAGCACUGGUUGCCCUAGCAUCCACAACAGCACUACCUUAUUCCCGAUUAUUCUUGUCUUCUUUUGUGGCCAUCUUCUUUCCUCCUCUUGCCCAUCUAAUGUCUCAGCAUCCCCUUAUGAAUUUAAAACCUACAAUUAUGUACCUGGUUUUAGCACAAAUUACUUGAUUUAAACAAAACUUAUUAAAAUCCAACUAAAAUGAAUGUUUAUGCAAAAGGUAAUCAAAAUGUAAUAAAAACACCUUAUUUGUUCUCUAAAUGACCUUGAUUUAAGUCUAGAAUUGAUGUAAUAACUCUCAUUUCCUAGAGUUAUCAAUCACUCAAUUAUAAAGUAUUUGUUUUCAAAGAAAAAUGACAAACCAAAGUUGAUUAUGUGGAUUCUUUUACUGUAAGAAUUUGACCUAGAGAUCGAGGACAGAAAAAGAAUUGAGAAUCAAGUAGCAGAUCAUCUCUCAAGGCUGGAAGCAGAUGCAAACACUCUAACUAAGACAUAAUAGAAACUUUUCCUGAUGAGCGGUUGCUAAUGAUACAGUAUGCAUAAUAGAUGUUGCAACAAUAUGAAUUUCCAUGGUAUACAGAUAUUGCUAAUUACUAAGCGAGUGGAUUACUACCACCUAAUUUGAGCUACUAGCAGAAGAAGAGAUUUCUCCAUGAUGCAGAAGUUAUCAGUGGAAUUAUCCUUGUACAAGAUGUGUUCAGACCAUGUGAUUAUAAGAUGUCUUCCUGAUGAAGAAAUUUCAAAUAUUCUGCAGUCUUUUCAUGUUGCAGCAUAUGGUGGACAUUUUGGAGGGCACAGAACAACAACAAAAGUUCUUCAAUUAAGUUAUUAUUGGCCCUCUAUUUUUAGAGAUGCUUAUGAGUUUGUUAAAUGAUGUGACAUAUGCCAAAGAACAGGAAACAUCUCUCAAAAGCAUAAAAUGCCACUAACCAACAUCUUGGAGGUUGGACUUUUUGAUGUAUGGGGAAUAGAUUUUAUGGGAUCAUUUCCACCCUCAUUUGGCAACUUAUACAUCUUAAUUGGCGUAGACUAUGUAUCCAAGUGGGUAAAAGCUACAACAUUGCCAACCAGUGAUGCCAAGACAAUGGUGAAGUUUCUACAUAAGAAUAUUUUUUUAAGAUUUAACACUCUUAGAGCUAUUGUCACUGAUAAAGGAACCUAUUUUUGUAACAGGAUGUUUGCUGCAGCAUUAGCUAAGUAUGAGAUCAAGCAUAAAGUUGCUACAACAUAUCAUUAAAAAAUAAGUGGUUAGGCAAAAGUGUCCAAUAGAGAGAUAAAAAAGAUUCUCGAGAAAGUGGUGAAUCCCAAUAGAAAAGAUUGGUCUUUUAGACCAAAUAACUCCUUAUCGGCUUACUGAACAGCUUACAAAACCCCACUUGGUAUGUCUCCAUACAGAAUUAUUUACGGGAAGGUUUCUCACUUGCCCUUAGAGCUGGAGCACCAUGUAUAUUGGGCAAUAAAACAAUUGAACAUGGAUAUGACUGUUGCAGCUGAGCAAAGGAAGUUACAGCUUUGUAAGCUAAAAGAGUUGCAGUUAUUCUCCUAUGAAAAUGCAAGACUCUACAAGAAGAGGAACAAGCAAUGGCAUGACAAGCAAAUUCAGCAAAGGGAGCUCAUUCCAGGUCAUCAAGUCUUGCUCUAUAAUUCAUAAUUAAAACUCUUUCCUGAAAAAUUAAAGUCUAGAUGGUCAGGACCUUUCAAACUUAUUAAAGUUUAUCCCCACGGGGCCGUGGAGCUUCAAGAUGAAAAGAUAGGUAAGCAAUUUAAGGUGAAUGGACUAAGAGUGAAGCACUACAUUGGAGCUUCUAUGAACAAUCCAAGGGAAGAUUUGUUUUUAAAGGAUCCAACUUGAGCAAUCAGAGAUGGUCAAGCUGAAGGACCCAAAAUCAAGCGCUGAUUAGGAGGCAAUCCAGUAAGGGAAGUUGUUUAAUUUUUUUUUAAAGCAUUGAAUUUAGUUUUGAAGAUUUUUUAAUUUGCCUUUGUUAUUUGAAAUUGUGCAUCUAACUUCUUUUAUUUUUUGUUAUUUUCUUGUGUUAAAUUGCAGUAAGUAAAAGUUGACUUAAAAAAAAGUAAGCAAAGAAAUAGAAAGGAAUUGCUGCAACAUCACUUACAGCAUGGUAGAGAGAAGAUGGUUCUCAAACGACAUAUUGCAGCAACGGAUUGGUUGUUACAGCAACGAUUUUUACCGUUGAGCUGUCAACCUUUUAUUUUUACUGUUGGUGGCUGACAAGCUUAUGUCAGCAUAUCAUAAUUUGUGAUAAGAAAGAUUAUGCAAUCCUUGAUUUGUUGUGAUAUAUAUCUCUCUUUUUCUGUUGUAGCAACGGAUUGGUUGUUACAACAACGAUUUUUACCGUUGAGUUGUCAGCCUUUUAUUUUUACUGUUGGUGGCUGACACGCUUAUGUCAGUAGAUCCGAAUUUGUGAUAAGAAAGAUUAUGCAAUCCUUGAUUUGUUGUGAUAUAUAUCUCUCUUUUUCCAUUCAAAAAUCUAUUUUUAAAAUUCAAACUUUUUCCAAGUUUAUCAUUUUAAUUGUCUCUCUCUCGACUUUCCUCAUGCUAUAAAUUAAGGAUUUACUUUUACUAUUUCUAUUUCACUAUUACUUUUUCUCUCCCUGUCUGUAACUCUCAGAAUCUUUACAUUUCUUUUUCACGUUCUUAUCUUUUUCAGCACAACAAAAUUCAGUUUGAAUUGCUACAGCAAUGCCAAAAAUUAAAGCACGUGCUGGCAUAUUGAAGGAUCCUAAGUGUUUCUAUAGCUUUAAAGUCGAGGAAAAAUAUAAAGAAAUUAUCGAGGCUAAAAAAAUUUUAGAAGAAAAGGGUUUCUAAUUUCCAAAACAGCCAACUGGGAUGAUCAAUAACAUCUAUACUGUUGUAGCACAGAGAGGAUGGAUCAAGUUCUAUGCUCACCCCCAAGACCCAAUCCUCUCAAUCAUUAAGGAGUUCUACUCAAAUAUGUUAUAGCAAGAUCAACACACUAUCUAGGGGUGUUCGCAAAUUGGAUUUUCCAUAUUAAACAUCAAUCCAUAUUCGAUCCAUGAUUUUGCGGAUUAUAAUUUUUAAUCCAAUUUAAUCCACAGAUUGAUCAAAUUCAAUAUAAAUCAAAUCCAUAUGUCUACGGAUUGGAUGCAUAUUUGACUCAAUCCAUAUCCAAUCCACCAUUUUGCGGAUUGGUUUGUGGAUUAAAAACUUUUCAUUCUAUCCAAUUCAUGAAUUAAUGAAAUAAAACAAAUAUAAGAUAAAAAUAAUUUUACUACCAAUUAAAUUCAAAAUUGAAUAAAAUUUAAAUAAAUUAACUAUGUAAAUAAAGCUAAAAUAAUACAUUCAAAGUUUUAAAAUAUAAUACACCGAGAUUAAUUGUUCAAACAAAACUACAAUAAUACAUUCAAAUUGUCAAAAUAUAACACACGAAAAGGAAAAAUGUCCACCUCCAAUUUGUGUUUUGUAUUUUAACCUGAACAAAAUAGACAGAAUUGAAAUACAUAACAAAUAAAAAUUUUUAUUUAAUAAAAAAUUAAUAAAUAUUUACCCUUACUAUCCCAUCAAAUGCUAUCAAGCUUCAUCAAAUAUGUUCUUAUCAGCUCCCAAAAUCUCUGUAUGUGUAAGAGAAGAAAAAUGUCAAUUUUUAAAAUAGAAUAACAAUAUAAAGUCAAAUAAUAAUCAAUAAAUAAAAUUAAAGUUAAGUUGUUACAUUUUAGCUGUCUCAAUAUGUUCAAUCUCAUCUAUUGCUUCAUCCAUAUUUAUCGGAGUUGAAUGUAACCAAUUUUAUGUGCAAAUUAGUGCCUCCACCAUCCUUGUAGAUAGUGAGCACCGAUGUGGAUCAAGAGCACAACCAACAGUGAUAAAUGCUGACUUAGAUGCCACUGUGGAAACAGGCAUGACUAAGAUAUCUUGAGCAACGUAAGACAAAAUUAGAUAUUUAGAAGAAUUAAUCUUCCACCAAUCCAAUAUAUCAAAACUUUCAUUUUUCGGGUACUCAUAUGAUUCCAUAAAAUAAAGAUCCACUUAUGUUUUGCACACUACAAAAGUAUUAUCUUUUAAAAUCUUUAUAUAACCAGAAUCAAACACUUGCCUAACAUUAACCUUAGUAUCAACCUCUAACUCAUUUUCAUCAUUCACAGCAUCCAUUACUUCCACAUUAUCGCAAUAAAGAAAUUUAUAUUCAUCAUAUAAACUACGUAAAUUAUUCCACACUUUAACAACCAACUCAUUAGCUUUAAAUUCACCAAACAAUACUAAAAAACAAUAUCUCAAAAAACAUUCUUUAUGCUGAGGAUCAAGCAAUUACUAUUUCGUAAUCUCCCCAAUACUUUCAUACUCUUUUUUAUACAUGACUGUAAAGAAGUGGGGGGAAGUUUUUAAAACCAUAAUUGUAGCAAGCAGUAAAUGGAUGAAUGAUGAGGGUAUAGUAGUCAAUAGGAUAGACUUAAAGCCUAUUGCUAAGGUUUGGGUGAAAUUCUUGAAAUCUAGACUGAUUUCAACUGCACACAUGACCAUAAUAUCUCAAGAUAGACUCAUACUUCUUUAUGCUACAGUAAAAAGGUUUAGCCAUUGAUGUUGGAAAGAUCAUUGAUUAAGAAAUUAGAGGGUGUGAAACAAAGAAGCAAAAGUUUGUUCCUUUGUUAUUUUCUUCACUUAUCACGGGCAUUUGUAAGGCCUCGGGGGUAAAAUUUGAGGCAAGUGAUGAGUGUGAAGAAUGAAGGGGCUAUGACAGCUAAGACAGUCAAAAGGAUUGUUGGGGAAUCUACUGCUGCAGCAACCCUAAAACAUCCUACUGCAGCUAAAUUAGGCAAGCUAUAGAGAUUGGGAAGAUGCUACAAGAACUCAGUGAAAGCUUGAAUGCAUGUGUCCAAGCACAAAAGGAGAAAAAUCAGAGGUUCUGGACUUACUACAUCUUGAAGCCCAGAAACAUCAAUUUGCCAUGUAUAUGAACAACAAACAUAUAGAUUUUCUUAAGUCUCUGCUACAACAGUUUAAUUUUCAGAAAACUGAGAAGACUACUCCAACAGAAGAAAGUGAAGAAGUAGAGACUGAAGGAGAGUCAACUGAAGAUGAUGAAGCAAAUAAUGAAAUAGAAAGUGAAAAGAAUGAAGAAAAAGAGAAAAAUGAAGAGGAACAUCCAAUUGAGACUUCCAAAAGCAAGGGAAAAGAAAAAAUUUUGAUCGAUGAGGAGUUUGAGACAAAGGAAGAGAAAGAUGUUGAUCAGCCUUAAACAAAGCCAUUACCAAAGCUACAAGGACAGAAGAAGCAAGGAGGAGUUUGAGGGAACUCAUUGUGAGCAUCACUGCUGAACAAUCAGAAGUAACAACACCUUCACUAGUUGCCAUAAAGAAAACUCCCAAAAAGUCUCAUGUCCCAACUCUAAGGGCAUAAAGCAAAAGAAAAAUAGCACAACCUUUUGGAGGUAUUGCAGCACUGUGAGCACUAUAAGAAUUAGAACACAAGCAAACAAAGCCAACUCUGCCUAAAGUUAUAGAAGCUUUUAGAGCGCCUCAAACCAGUCCAACCAAAAGCCAGAAGAAGAAACAACUAGUUGUGGCACCAUUGGAUCCAUCAAAGGAGCGUUUGAAAAGUGGAUCAAAGAAUACGUGAUUCUUUACAGCAUAUGCUGCAACAUAGCUUCCAACAACAUAGGAGUAUCCUCUGCUAGCCUAGUUUUAAUUUGCAAUUUCUGAAACUUUUCUUUUCCUUUAUUUAUUUUAUCUUGUUUCUUUUCCAUUUUAUUUAUUUUAAGUAUACACAUGUUUGUCUUUAAUUUAUUUUGAGUGCAUAUGAAAACACAACACCUCUCAAGUUUGGGGGGGCUGUAUUAUAGUGUAAUGUGUCUACGAAUGUAUGUGUUUGCGUUGUGUGUGUAGCUCUGUUUUUCCAACAUUUGUAUUUGGAUUAGAAAAUCCAAUGAGGAUGAAUUGAGUGAUGAAAUGUUAGGUGAAUGACUGCCAAGUGGGGACAGUUUAUAGAUGAAUUGAGUGAUGAAAUUCUAUCUUAACACUUAGGCUUUAGUUGAAUUUUGUGAGUAUGCUGUAGCAAAACCAAGUAGAGCAAUAUAGAAAAUAUCAACAGUCUAAGGUUAAAAAUAUCUCAAGUUUGGGGGGAACUUGAAAAACUUUUCACAAUUAUCACAAAUUGUGCUGGAUAUGAAAUAAAAUUAUGCUCCAAUGACUUAGUUGCUGAGUAUCCAGGACUUAGUAUGUACCCUAUACGCAGACUUAAGUAAAAAGACAGCAAGAGUUUUGAGCAUUACUGUAGCAACGCAAAAAGCAAGAUAGGUCCUCUAUCUAGGAUAUUGAGUAGACAGGUCUGUUCAUAAGCCUCAUGUUUAGCCUUGAGUCAAAGGUGUCUAAAGAUAAGACUAAGUUAUAGUAUCUUAGAUGUUUGUGAUGUAACAACUUUGAUCUAUACAUUGGUCAACUAAUUCGAUGUCAUCAUUAUAAACGAUAGGCAUUCACAUGAAAAAUUAAUGUUACACUAAAGGAUAUAUAAUCUUAUAAAAAAAAUGGAAAGAAAACGAUAAUUGUUGUAGCACAAUUUGAAGCCAUUUUUUACUCAUGCUCCCUCAUAAAAAGAAAUGUCUGUUGUUUUAUCUUUGAGUUAUAUUUGACGCUUGCGUGAUGCUGCAGCAACUCUGGAACUUGAUCAAAGUGCCACACACACACUUUGCACAUAAUAAGACUUAAGUUUAGAAUUGGAACUGCUGAUGGUAAUUUUGCAUGUUUUAAGAAUGAGAUAUGAGGGUUGAUAAAUCUUAGCAAGCAAGUCGACAGAGCUAAGUUGUUUGUUGCAUGAUUGUGUGAGUGAAGUGUUAGUAUUAUGUGAAUGAAGUGUUAGUAUUCUUGUUAUAACUUGAGGACAAGUUAUGUUUUAAUUUUGGGGGUGUGAUAAUUUUAUGAAAUGAGAGUUAUCAUCACAUAUUUAGACUUAAACCAAUAUUACUUAGAGAGUAAAUAAUGUGUUUUUAUUGCAUUUUUAGUUAUAUUCUGCAUGAGCAUAUAUUUAAGUUUAAUUUUAAUAAAUUAAUUUGAUUUUAGAUCAUUUUGUGCUCUGAUUAUGUGCGUGAUUGUAGGAGAUAAAAAAAAAGCUCAAGUUUUAGGGAUGGAAUACUACAGUAGUAAACUUGCAGAGAUGACAAAGAACAUGGUUGCAGAUGAACUAAAACAAGUUUGAAUCAAAGGAGAUGUUGUAGAUGUUACUACAACAAUUCAGGAGCAACUGCAGAUAAGAUUACGCGCGUGCUAACUGACAAGGCAGCAACAGAUGACACAAAAAGAUUGUGAUCCAAGGUUUCUAAAAAAGGGAGACACGCGCAGUGGCGGUGCCAGGAAGUUAAUCAAGGGGGGCUAAAUUUAAAUAAUAAUAUAAUUUAAAAAUACUAAAUUUAAAUAAUAAUAUAAUUUAAAAAUACUAAAUUUAAAUAAUAAUAUAAUUUAAAAAUACUAAAUUUAAAUAAUAAUAUAAUUUAAAAAUACUAAAUUUAAAUAAUAAUAUAAUUUAAAAAUAGUCAACAAGUAACAAAUACCAAAAUAAAAAUUCAUUAAUAUAUUUAAUUCAAUACAUUUAUAACUAACCUAAACUUGUUUUCAUAUGUUAAAAAAAAAUUAAAGAAUAAUCUUAUCAUCAAUGAUGCGUAAAUUAGCUAGUGUACUAGUCGGCACAAGUAAUAUAAUGAAGAGUAGAGUAUUGUCCUACAGAGAUUGUAUAUCCUAUUAGUUACCGAAAUUAUUCUAACCCUAAUUUAUUUGAACAAUCGAAUAAGCGAAUUUAGAUUAAAAAUUAAAAUAAAUUAAAUUAUCUAAAAAUUAAAUAAAGAUGCAGGCAGUAAUAGAAAUCACCAAGAGAUUAAGACACUAGGACAUCCGAUUUCACCAUAACCAAUCGAAUUUAAUCCUCCAUCUAUGCUAUUAAAAUUUAUUACCCAUGUUGAUAGUGAAUUUCCCUAAUCUAUUCAAUAUCCUCUCUCGAGUAAUAUCAAAAAUACCUCUACAUAUUAACCUACUAUAUCUCUAUGUGAAUUUAAAUAUGCAAAGAUUCAUUAAGCUCUAUGGAAAUUCUUAGAAAAAACUGCACGAAUCACGUUGGCACAUCUCUGUCUUUCGUUCAAUUCAUGGCAUCCAUUACACAGAGCAAAAAUACAUAAAUCUCCUCUCGGUCUCAUUAUGUAUCCUCAAAUCAUUCAAAUAUUGGCAAGAUAUUUAAAAGCAUUAAAUACAAUAAUGAACACUCAAUCAUGGAAUAAUAAACUAAAAAUAACACAGACUUAUAGAAUUAAAUCUUCAUAGUUAGGCUACAUCGUAGCCCUAGUAAAAUAAAUUAGUUCAUAGGAAUAUAAAGAGAAUCCAUUAAUUUAAUUGGAAACAUUCAAACAAGAUAAUAGACAAGAGAGAAAGAAAAACUCAAGAAUUAAUGCGUCUUCCUCCUGCUCCAAAUUAUUCCUGCUGCUCUCGGUUUUGUGCUUAAAAGUGCGGCUGCUGCUUCCUUUCGGUUUGUGGUUCUUGUGGCUGCCCUCUUGGCUCAAAAACCUCACGGCUGCCCCCUCCUCUCGGUUUUGUUUCUCUUCCUUUUAUAUUGCUCAGCCCACGAAUCCUUAAAUCAAAAGGAUUUUAAAACAAAACAAUUCUAGCCACUUUUUUAAGCCCACGCACGUGACUUGUUCAAUUAAUAAGCUAAUAAAGAUUAGGCCAAAGCCCAUCACAAGGAUGCUUUCUUCUUUUACUUUAUUCUUCGUAUGAUUUGCCUUAUUAAUUAACUUAUUUCCAAUGCUAAUUCUUCUCAUCUUCACGUGAACUUCAAUUAGGCCUUGGCUGCUCCGAUUUUCUUCCAUUUUAAUUCCCAUUACUUUGCUUAAAUUUCUAAUUAAUUUCUUCUUUAACCUCUCCUUACUUGAAUAUUCUGAUUUAAUUCCUCUUUAUUCCCAAAAUGUACCUAAAAUAACAAAAUAUAAAAAUUAAGAUAAAAUUAACAUAAUAAAAUAUAAUUUAACCUAAAAUUAAGUUAUGGAAGCAUUAAAAUAAUAGAUAAAUUAUGAGCACAUCAAUCAAGAAUACAAAAUAAAUCUUUUUUUGUAUAUACAAAAUAAUAUUACUCAAUCAUUGAUCUCUUAUCUGAUUUCAUAGAUGAUUUUUCACAAAAUUCAUGCCAAAAAUGCUUUUUUGACUAUAGUGAUGAGAACUAGUAAAAACAAUAAAUAAAUUAAUGAAUAUAAUUUAUCCUUUUAAGUAUCAGCUAUUUUUCUUGUUAGCUUAUCAAUUCCUUUCAAUUUUUGAAAAUUUGUUAUCAGAACUCACUUCUAUAAUGUAAAUAUUAAUUUGAAUUUUAAGUGCUAUAAGACUCAUUAAAGAAAAAUUAUUUGAAUAAGCUCAAUGAGGUGAAAUAGUUUCUUUUUUUUGUGUGUGAGGAGAGUUAGGGCCAGAGAAACUUUAAAAUACAAUGUUUCUUUGUGGGUUGGAAGUGUAAAAAUAAAUACUUAAUAUAUUGUUUAUUUUUAAAUUUUAGUAGGGACUUUCUUAUUAAAUUAAAUUCAAAAUAGGAUAAAUAUAUAAAUUUUAAAAAGUCUAGGGGGACUGUUCUAAUGUGGCGCCACCACUAGACAUGCGUCCACAUACUUUUGGUUGCCCUAAUUCUAAUAUAUAAAAAGAGCACACAUGAAGAAAAAGGACGAGAGAACCAUUACUCAAGAAAAAUAACAGAGAAUAAGAGAGAUUUGAGGCUGUAGGAAAGGAUUCUAGAAGAAGAAAAAUGAGAGAUUGCAAAGAUUUAGCGGAACUUAAUUUCUCAUCUUUAUUUUCUUGUGUUUAUCUCUUUAUGGGAAUGUAUUUGAUGGAAAAAGAGUGUUGCUACUGUUUUAUCUCAUAUCAUGAGCUAAACUUUGAUGCAGUUGGGUGUUAAAGAAGCUUAAUGGUUAUUUGACUUAUAUAUGUGUGUUGCUCAGAAUCUGCUGUAGUAUUUUGACUUGAUUUUACUUAUUACAAAUUUGUAUUUCGGUUCACCACCCAUUUAAUGGAUACUCGCUAAGAAGAUGCCUAAAAAAUGUCUGACUUAGUGGAACAGAUCAACACAAUACAUGGUUUUAUAUUGAGUUUCCCAAGUUGAGUUAAUCUCAACUUGAAUAGGGUCAUUCUUAAUUUAAAAUUAGUGAAGAGUUAGACAUAGGAAUUCACCUUGUAGGGCAAUUGGAACUUAGAAUGUAUAAUGUUAUAUCUAAUGUUAGCAUAACAGCUGGUCACUAUUAGGUUGUAUAUAGAUAAAAGAUAUCCAACACGCAACAACUAAGGAUGCCUGAGGCAUUCUACCCAGUGCUGUAGUAGAUGUUGUGGUAACAAUACUGUAAUUGAAAAAACAGUCAAUACCAUUAAGUGAAUUUAAACACUCAAUUAUUCCUUUCCCAUUGAUUACAUCAUUGUGUUUAACUUGAGAUUUUUCUCAUUGCAUUUUGUUUAUUGCAUUUUUAAUUUAAUUAGUUUAUUAAUUUCAUCAAUUAUUUUAUUUUUAUUUGGACUAAAAUUGCACUGUUAAGAUUGUUGUAGCAAGUUCUAUAACAUCAAUUCCUAAGGAUAAUUAAAAAGCCUGAUGAUAGUUUAUAAAGUAUGCAUGACAUUGAAUUUAAUUAUAUAACUCACUUAAAUGCUGACAUGGCACUGUACUUAGCUUCAAAUGAUGACACUGCAAAGAAGGUAGCUCCUAAUGGCUUCUAGCCAUGACAAUCGUAGCAGAAAAGGCGUUGCCCCAAAGUCCGUUAGCCUCAAUAGAAAAGUGUAUAGCCUCGUGAAGAACAUUUGAUGGUACAAUUACUUAUAGUGACAAACUUCUUGAUUCGGCAAAUAAGGGUUAUAUAAACUAAAGCAAAACGUUUAAGGUUAAUUUGAACCAAAACAUUUAGUUAAUGGAAAACACAGGAGUAUACAAAGUUAAAAAGGCAGAUGAAAACAUAUAUUGCGAUACUUUCUUAGUUGAGAUGCUCAACUAUCACCACCACCAUUCACUACAAGUUUUCAAUUUUUUUUGGCUAAAUGUAUAGAAUUUCGAUUGCCCAAUAUGUGCAGGCCUUUUUUUUUUUUGUCGGCUCUAUUAGCCAUUUGAUAUAGAAGGGAAAAAAAUUUAAUAUAUCUAAUGGAAGGAUAAAAUCAAAUCCUCUAAACAGCAAGGAAUAUUGAUGAUUUAUUCAGAGUUGUUGAACAAAUCUUACUAAUGGAUCAUGAUGGCUGAUCAAUCAUUAUCUCAAUCUCCUCAUUCAUACAAGCCAACUUAACUAAGUGUACGUAAUUUAUUUUUGUUUUCUAAAAUAAUUUCCUUGCAAUUUAAUGAGAAAGUCUUAUGCACGAACCACCCGAUGAAACCAAAUGAGGGGCAAUUUAGGCUUUUGGAGGGUCUUUAUCUUAAAAAAAUAACUUGACGAUUGAUGUAAAGAGUAAAAAUCUAAUAAAAAAAUAAACAAAAUAAUAACACUUAAAAUGAUAAUAUUAAUUAAAUGUACACUGAAAUUGCUUUCAUAAUGCAACACGAUAUUAAAAUAAACAGUUAAUGCAAACAAACGCAGCAUGUUUUAUUUUCCUUAUUUAUGGAAUCUUUCAAUUCCAUUAAAGUCACUGUGGCAAGUUUCUCACUAUUCAUUCAUAUAAAUAAAGGAUCAUGACUUUCUGAUUUUUACACAUCUCCUUUAAUUUUAAUUAAGUUGCUUACAAUUCACUUAAUAAAUAGAAAAUGUUGAAGAGUCUUAGUUUCAUCAUGUUGGCUUUGCUUGUAGUGGCAAACACUAAAAGCACACUUAUUACAGCUAGUCGUUUUAGCCAAGGAUAUCACUCAUAUGCUUCAUUUUCUAAUAAUCCCGGAGUAUCACCUGAAAUUGUUGAUUGCUCUCGGAGACUAUAAAUACUACUGUCCCCCGGGGGGAUGCAAAUGAUUUUGAUAAUCAGUUAUUUCAUUUGUCUUUUAUGAGUGCUUUUACAAUAAUGAUAAAUUGUAGUGAAAUUGAAACUGUGUUUUGAUAAAAGAAGAUAUUAAUUCAUUAUGAGUACGUAACGUUAGGUCAUGUGUUUUUGGUGUGUGAAUUGGCUUUUUUUUUUUUUUUUAUAUGCAUAUCGUUGAAUCAAUCUACGAGAGGGCAAUCUAUUGAAAUACUAAUAAUGAUAAAGCAAUCAUUAUUUCUGUGUUAGUACUAUUUGUAAUAUUUGAAUUUUAAGUCCAUUUUCUUUUAGGGUGAGGCUAACUGCAUCCUAACAAAAAAAAAAAGAAAAAAAAAAGCUUUGAACCUUUAUAUUUUAUCGAAAUCUUAUAUUACAAAACUGUUUGAAUUAAUUUGAGGGUGAACUUCAAUAUACGCCUCGUGAAUCUUUAAUUUACCCCUAAAAAAUGAAAUCAUCAACUUACCCUCAUUUACAGCAAAAGAAAUAAAUAAAAAAAUUUAUCAACGUGCCCGCUAUUUACUCUCAUCUUCUGAAAAAAAAAUAAAGCAAAUUGAGGUUUUCAUUCUUUUGGGGGGUAAAUUGAAGAUUUUUAUUGGGAGGGGGAUGAAUUGAAGUUUACCCUAAUUAAUAAAAUUUUUCUUAUUAUUUUUUACAUGUGUUUGCCCUAUCUACUGAACAAACAAAAAUCGUUUUUGAAUUAGAUGAAUAUUGUGGGAAUGCUAUAAAGGUCCAUUUGCAAAUCGCAUUCAAAAAGAAAAAAAAAUUGUAUAAGGGAAUUGACAAUUUGUUGGCAAAUUACAAUUAUUAGGCAGCACAAGACUAGUCACACUGUCACAGUAUUUAGAAAUUUUAUUUUGUCACUUGAAAAUAAAAAUACCAACUUCUUACUUCCUUCUAUUUAAUUUUGUUUUAUUUCAUUUUUAAAAAGUUUUUGAAAAUCACAAAAUAGUUUAAAUUAAUUGUUUCUAAGUGCAAAUAUAUAUUCUUUUGUUUAUUUGAGAUGGCUAGCUUGGCUUUAAUUUAAUAUAUGUUUUUGUAACUGAAAUUUAGAUAUUUCUUUAUUUUUUUUAUUUGGCUAAAUAAUGUAAUAUUCUUACUUAAUUGAUGACUUAAAAAUGAUAAUGUUUUAAUUUGUUAAUUUUUAUGCAGCUAGCCAGUAAGAUAUGAAAAAAUAUUUUUAUAAGAAAACAAUAGAAGAAGGGAUAGCAAUUAAUUUAUAAUCAUUUGAUGAUGCAAAAUAAAGGAUGCAUGAUGUUGGUUCUUACAAAGUUCAAGACCCGGAUGUAGUUACCACUAAGAAUAACAUUAUAUCACAAAGACAAACGCAUAGGAUUGAUUAGUACAAGGAGUCUUAAUCAAUGUCAUCAGUUUUUAGCUUUUCUUGGUUUGUCUUUCUUCUGUGAUGCUCUUGAGAUGUUAUGAAUUAAACAAAUACAAGUUCCUACUCCCACACUUUUAUCAUAUAGGAAGCAUUAUAAAACGAAGAAACAAAUUCUCACACUCGGCGACCAAGAGGACAUGAGACAAUGAAGAAGUAGGGGAUUAAGCACUGUUGUGUAGACUGAACUGAGAAGAAAUAGCAAAUAGAUAAGGCGUCCAAUGAAGCCAGCAGCUAAUGGUCCUAUAAUUUGAUCGUGGUACUGGGGGCCUUGGAGGCAAACUAUUAGCUAGCCUACUGAUGAAUUUCCUUUUAGCCCACUUGAGCAAUACUAAGGCAGCAAAUAUGCUCGAUGUAAGCUACACUGUGAAAUCCGAACAACCCAGAGCAUUGAACAAAAUCAAUAAGGCUUAUACAAUCUCAAUUUUGAUUUACUGAUAACGUUACUAGCUUUGUGCUACGCAGAGUAGGUUCUAGAUUACGUUGGGCAUUGGGCAAAAUUUUGUUCCGAAGCCUUUGAGUAUUAACACUUAAAGAAACGUAAAAUAUCUUAAAAUGCAAUCAAUUUUUGACAUCUUGAGUACUAAUAAUCAACAACAUAGUAAGAAAUUUAAAAAAGAAAAAUUGUCGAGAAAAUAUAUUUUUUUUUACUUUUUUCAAAAUUAUUAUUUCAAGAAAAUAUUUUAUUUUACUUCAAAAGUGGGCAAAUAAACAUAAUAGUGUUCCUUAUAGGGAAAGGCGCUCGGAAUUUUAUAUGUCAAAUAAUCAAUUUUUUAAACUCAGAAAAACUUUAAUGGUUUUUCUUGGAAUAACUAAUAAAGAAAAAUAUUAUUAACCAUAGCUCAUUAGCAAUAAUGCUAUCGAAUAUAGAAUUUGUGUAAAAAUUCUUAAUAACAUAAUAAUUAUUAAUUAAAAAGAGGCCUAAAAAAUAAGCUUUCCUCUUGUAAGUAUAACAUAAAAUAUCUAUUAAUUUGACUAUAUCAAGAAAAUACUGAAAGAAAAAAAUCUUCUUAACAUAUAGAGCCUAGACAACCACAAUUAGGCCAUUCUAACAUGUGUUUCAAGCCCUAGGCAACAAACAGCCUAGUUCACCUAUGUUUAAAGCCACCCCUGUAUGCUAGGCAAGGCUCUUACCACAUAUAAAGGAUUAACUAAUCCCCAAAUCAGACUAUCUGAGAGGAAUAAACAUAACCAUAAAGCCAUAGAUGCUUACAACUGCAUUUGCUAUAAAACAAUGCAAAUUAAAAACCUGAUGAUAAUUUAUAAAGCAUACAUGACAUUAAAUUUAGUUAUAUAACUCACUUAAAUGCCGACAUGGCAUUGUACUUAGCCUCAAAUGAUGACACUGCAAAGAAGGCAGCUCCUCAUGGCUCGUAGCCAUGAUAAUCGUAGCAGAAAAGGUGUUGCCCCAAAGGCCGUUAGCCUCAGUAGAAAAUAGUAUAGCCAAGUGAUGAACAUUUGAUGGUACAAUUACUUAUAGUGACAAACUUGUUGAUUUGGAAAAUGAGGGUUAUAUAAACAAAAAAAAAAAAGUUUAAGGUUAAUUUGAACUAAAACAUUUAUUGAAUGGAAAACACAAGAGUAUAUAGAGUUAAGAAAGCAGAUGAACACAUAUGUUGCGAUAUUUUGUUAGUUGAGAUGGUCAACUAUCACCGCCACCAUUCACUACAAGUUUUCAACUUUUUUUUUUUGGGCUAAAUGUAUAGACUUUCGAUUGCCCACUAUGUGAGGCCUUUUUCUUUUUUCUUUUUUUUUUUGUCGACUCUAUCAGCCAUCUGAUACAAGAGGGGAAUAAAUUUUAAUCAAUCUAAUGGAAGGAUAAAAUCAAAUCCUAUAAACAGUAAGGAACAUUGAUGAUUUAUUCAGAGUUAUUGAAUGAAUCUCACUAAUGGAUUAUGAGGGCUGAUCUAUCGUUAUCUCAAUCUCUUCAUUCAUACAGGCCAACUUAACUAAGUGUACGUAAUUGAUUUUUGUUUUCUACAAUAAUUUCCUUGCAAUUUAAUGAGAAAGUCUGAUGCACGAACCAACUUAUGAAACCAAAUGAAAGGCAAUGUAGACUUGUGAAGGGUCUUUAUCUUAAAAAAUAGCUUGACGAUUGAUAUAAGGAGUAAAAAACUAAUAAAAAACUAAUAAAAAACUAAACAAAAUAAUAACAAUAAAAAUGAUAAUAUUAAUUAAAUGUACACUGAAAUUGCUUUUAUAAUGCAACAUGAUAUUAAAAUAAACAGUUAAUGCAAACAAACGCAGCAUGUUUUAUUUUCCUUAUUUAUGGAAUCUUUCAAUUCCAUUAAAGCCACUGUGGCAAGUUUCUCAAUAUUCAUUCAUAUAAAUAGAGGCUCGUGACUUUCUAAUUUUUACACAUCUCCUUUAAUUCUAAUUAAGUUGCUUACUAGUCACUUCAUAAAUAGAAAAUGCUGAAGAGUCUUAGUUUCAUCAUCUUGGCUUUACUUGUAGUGGCAAACACGAAAACCACACUUAUUACAGCCAGUAGUUUUAGCCAAGAAUAUCACCCAGAUGCUUCAUUUUCUAAUAAUCCCGCAGCAUCACCUGAAAUUGUCGAUUGCUCAGGGCUUACAAGGGAAGAGUGUUUGAUCGAGAAGUCAAAGAACGCUCUCAGAGACUAUAAAUACUACUGCCCCCCGGGGGGAUGCAAAUGAUUUUGAUAAUCAGUUAUUUCAUUUGUCUUUUAUGAAUGCUUUUACAAUAAUGAUCAAUUGUAGUGAAAUUGAAAUUGUGUUUUAAUAAAAGAAGAAAUUAAUUCAUUAUGGGUACGUAACGUUAGGUCAUGUGGUUUCGGUGUGUGAAUUGGCUUUGUUUUUUGUAUGCAUAGCAUUGAAUCAAUCUACGAGAGGGCAAUCUAUUGAAAUACUAAUAAUGAUAAAGCAAUCAUUAUUUUUGUGUUAGUACUAUUUGUAAUAUUUGAAUUUUAAGUCCAUUUUCUUUUAGGGUGAGGCUAAUUGCAUCCUAACAAAAAAGAAAAAAGAAAAAAAAAGGUUUUCAACCUUUAUAUUUUAUCGGAAUCUUAUAUUACAAAACAGUCUGAAUUAAUUUGAAGAGUGAACUUCAAUUUACGCCUCGUGAAUCUUCAGUUUACCACUAACAAAUGUGAAAACACCAACUUAUCUCAUUUACUGCAAAGGAAAUAAAUAGAAAAUUUAUCAACGUCCCCGCUAUUUACGCUCAUCUUAUGAAAAAAAUUAAAGUAAAUUGAGAUUUUCAUUCUUUUGAGGGUAAAUUGAAGAUUUUUAUUGGGAGGGGGAUGAAUUGAAGUUUACCCCAAUUAAUAAAAUUUUUCUUAUUAUUUUUGACACGUGUUUGCCCGAUAUACUAAACAAAAAAAAAUCUUUUUUUAAUUAGAUGAAUGUUGUGGGGAUGCUGGAAAGGACCAUUUGCAAAUCUCAUUUAAAAGAAAAAAUAUAUAUAUAAGGGAAUGGAAAAUUUGUUGGCUAAUUACAAUUAUUAGGCAGCACAAGACAAGCCACACUGUCACAGUAAUCAUAAUUUUAUUUUGUCACUUGAAAAUAAAAAUAUCGGCUUCUUACUUCCUUCUAUUUUAUUUUGUUUUAUUUCAUUUUAAUUUUUUUUAAAUCAAAAAAUAGUUUCAAUCAAUUGUUUCUAAGUGCAAAUAUAUAUUCUUUUGUUUUUUGAGAUGGCCAGCUUGAUUGUAAUUUAAUAUAUGUUUUUGUAACUGAAAUUUAGAUAUUUCUUUAUUUUUGUUAUUUGGCUAAAUAAUGUAAUAUUCUUACUUAAUUGAUGACUUAAAAAUGAUAAUGUAUUAAUUGUUAAUUUUUAUGCAGCUAGCCAGUAAGAUAAGAAAAAGUUUUUGAUAAGAAAACAAUGGAAGCAGGGAUAGCAAUUAAUUUAUAAUCAUUUGAUGAUGCAAAACAAAGACUGCAUGAUGUUGGCUCCUACAAAGUUCAAGACCCGGAUGUAGUUACCACUAAGAAUAACAUGUUACCACAAAGAAACACGUGAAGGAUUAUUUAGUACAAGGAGUCUUAAUCAAUAUCGUUAGUUUUUAGCUUUUCUUGGCCUGUCUUUCUUCUGUGAUGCUCUUGAGAUGUUAUGAAUUAAACAAAUACAAGUUCCUAAUCACACUUUUAUCAUAUAGGAAGCAUUAUAAAAUGAAGAAACAAAUUCUCACACUCGGCGUCCAAGAAGACCUGAGACAAUGAACAAGUAGGGGAUUAAGCACUGUUUUGUAGACUGAACAGAGAAGCAAUAGCAAAUAGAUAAGGCGUCCAAUCACUACUAGAAAAAUGGUAUUUACUGACUUUAGAAUAGUGUCAGAAAUUACUUUCACUGACACUUGUUAAUUGUGUCAGUAAUCUGGGAGUCAAAAAAAUAGUGACACUUGUAAUUGGUUUUAGUGAUUACUAUUACUAUAGUAUUACCAGAUUUAUGACACUAUGGUAUUAGUAAUUAUUGAUAAUGAUCACUUGUUAAAAGUUACUUUCACCAUAGUAUCACAAAAUAUUAUGACACUAUAGUGAUAGUAUUUACUAACAAUUAUUACACGUCAAUAGUUUGUUUUACACUGGGAUAUGACAUGAUAGAAUAAACGGAUACUAAUACUUUAGUGUCAACAAUUUGUAAUACUAUAGCAUCACUGAUAUUAUGAUGCUGAAUCAUUUUUUAGCGUCAAUGGCUUCAAAGAAAAGAUGCUGAAAUUAUUGUUGCUACUCAAUUAUUUUCAUUAUUCUUUUAGUUUUGCCAAUCAAAUAAUGGUAUUUAAAGAAAAUCUAUUCAAAUUAAACUAAAGUACAAAUUUGAAUAAUUAAAUAUAAGUAUAUAAUAUUCCUACUAACAUUUAAAUAAGUAUCAAAUAAAAUAGUAAUACAAAUAUCCAAAAUAUUAUUUGAAAACAUGUCAAAUAUUUACAUGAACACAUAAUGACAGUUUGCAGGAAACAAUCAGUACAUCUCCUCUUUGAUCUUUACCUUUCCCUUCACCUUUCCCACCUAUAAUUGCAGUAUAUAGAAUCAAUUAGCUACUAUGCUACAAAAAUCAAUUCUUUGAUAUUUACAAGCAAAAAUAUAAUUUACCUCAUUAUUGUAUGCUACAAGUAACUUUGCAACAUACAUCACCCACUGAUCGCGAACUUGCGAAAGAUCGUCCAUAGUGUACUCAUUACAGCCCUUGAACUUCAAAAAUAAAGCAACAAAAUAUAUUCAUAUAUUAUAGAAUCUGUCCUAAAAUAAAACAACACAAUAAAAACAUAUAUUUUUAAGUUUGCCAGGAUUAACAUCAAAACUGAAGAACAUGCAAAUAAAUUGUAUUGCCAUAGCAAACAACGGUUACCAAAGCUGUCUAAGAAGCUGAUAAUUUAUAAUAUAUUAUUUGUUUUACUCAAUAUUACUUCUAACACUCAGCACUGGGAUUUAUAUGCUUUCUAUCUGUACAUGCAGUAGCUCCAAUCAUUGCUCAAUAAUACUUUAACACUGAACACUAAGAUUUAUAUGCAUUCUAUUUGUACAUGCAACAGCUCCAGUCAUUUUGGUUUACACUAAAGUGCCUUAAAUACAUAGUAGAACACAGUAAAAAUUGGCAUUAAUUUUUCCAAACAUGUUGAAUUCAUUCAGUAAAAUGUAUAUAGCAUUAUAGCUUUUACCUAUAAUAAAUAUGGCAAAUAAAGUGUAUGUGAUUAUCCUAAACAUACACAACACUUCCUCUAAUCCCUAGCACAAGAUAUGAUUAUAUUGCUAGUUUCAAGCAUAAAGCAGCAAAUUGUUCACCCAUUAACCAUCUUCACAAUUCACUUAAGAAAAUCCAUUUCACAAUGCAUUCUUCGAAAAAAUAUUAAACAAGUUCUGGAGAAACUCACAUUGUUUCAAGAAUGCACAAAUCGCGAACAAUAUCCUGGAUGUACUUCAUCACAUAGUAACCACAUUCAAAGGUUCCGGGUUGUUUCGGACACUAAAAAAAAAAAAAAAAAACUUUGUUUCAAAUAUACUGAUGAAGUAACAAUGGAAAUCAUAACUUUGUUUCAUUAAUACCUUUACAAAGACCCACUGCACAGCCUUCUUUUUAUUACUCUUCACUUGAUGCAUUGUUAUUCCACUAUAAAUAAUAAAUAACAGAUGCAACAAAUUAAUCUACAGCAUAAAAAAUUAAUAAAGAAUUAAGUAAACUAAUUAAACUUACUCAUUCACCAUUUGCUUCAACUCAUCAUCAUGAUUAUCACCUAAUGGAUCAAGAUAAUAAAUUUUUCGCCUCACCAUAUCAAUUGCUACUAGCACCCAGUGGCCACUAAACAAACAAGUAAAAAAAAAAAUAGAUUACAAGAUAAAUUUAAAUCAUUUAUGUUAAAAAAUAAAUAAACUAUACCCUGGGUUAUAUGGGAAGACAAUUAUUUGGGCUAUUUGAAUCUUGUCCAAAAGGUCUGAAAUAUAGGAACACCUAUUUGGGUAGCUUGCUUGACUUGGGUGUAACUUAGCUAUGCAUCCAAAUUGAAUUGGAAUAACACCACUGCCAUUAUCCAUCUCUUCAUACAAGUGUCUAUUGAAAAAAGAAACUUUCAUGGCAUGAAUAUAAGAAAUAAAUUAAUGACAGUUUGCAAAAUCAGAAAACAUAGUAAAAACAUAAAUCAAGUUUUUUAUUUCUUACUUGAUCCAUAUCUCCAAAACAGAAUUUGAGAGCUCUGUAAACUCAAUGACUUCAUUGCAAAUCUGCUCUCCCAGUAGACACCAAAAGUCUUCAAAUCAUGGGCAAUCAUAAUCGUCCGUGGCAGGGAGCUCUCAAUCAUCAAAGAAAAGAUGUUCAUUUCUGAACUUUUGUUCUCUUUUCUUGCUUUCACAGCUCCACGGGUAUUCUUUCUCAGAACCAGUUUCCUUGCUGUCACUAGUUUUACAACAACGGGUUCCUUUGUUGUUCGUUUCUGUUCAUACAGAUAUACCACGGCAUUUGUAGGAGACUUUCGGCCAUCCACUUUUCUCUUUGAAGGAGUUAAUCUUGGAGAUCUUCUUGGGGUGAUUUUUGAAGUGGCUUCACAAACUACUGGGGAUGGAUUCUGUGCAGGGGAUGGCAGGGGAGGUGUGUUGAUGUUUUUGUCAGGUUUUGGACAAAUAGUGGGGUCAUUGGUCACUGACUUUGGACUAACUUUGGUCACCGACUUGGGGGUAGCUUUGGGGUUGUUGGUCACGGACUUUGGGGUAGCUUUGGGGUUGUUGGUCACUGACUUUGGAGUUGCUUUGGGGUUGUUAGUCAUUGACUUUGGAGUAACUUUGCUGGGUGAUCGACGAUCUAUCUCCAUCUUAACACUGCAACCACCUUUGGAGUUAGGAAAUUUGGAACUGCCAACUUCAGUGUUGUUGCAUGCGUUGAUCCUUGCAUUCAUUUGAUCUAAUUGAGCUUGCAUAAAUUGAAAACUCUCCUGAUACAUUCUCCGUUCUCGCGCCAACUCCGUGGGGUUAGGGACAUUGAAAUACAUGGAUGGGGUGAUGAAUUGACCCAAUCCUUACACCCGACUUCCAUUAGGCUUCUUUUGAAGUGCUUCACCUAGGAUAUCACUCGGUCCUUGGGAUUGGAACGUUCCCUGCUCAACUUGACUUCUUAGCUCACUCUACAAAAUAAAUACAAAAAUAAUUUGAUCAAAAUUAGGAAUAAAAAAACAAAUAAGUUAAAUAAUGACAGUGGUGGUGGAAACUUACAAUUCUCUCAGCCACUUGCUGCACUUCAGGUGUAUAAGUUCCAUCUUUUCUCCUAUGAGCCAAUAACCAGGCUUCACUACGGUCAAUCUCGCGCUCAGUAACUCCGAGGUCCAACUGCUGUAAUAAUUCAACAAAAAUUGAAUUGAAAACUACUAUGAAUCAUCAUAUUAUUUGUAUUGAAAAUGUCAUAAGUUUGUAUAGAGUGGUUAUUAUACUUACUCUUUUAUGCAACAGCCCAGCAUAUCCUGUGCUACCCAAGUGAUGAUUGUACAUAUUCUUUGCUCUUUUUUCCUUUGCUGCCUUACUUUUUUCCUGCACAAAGCGGAUAUUGAUUAAAAUGGUUACAGGAACUCAAUAAUAUUAUCUAACUAACAUAAUUUUAAACAUACCUGAAAGUCUUCGGAUAAAAUCUUAUCAACAAAGCUCUUCCAGUCCUCUUUUCUAAUGCUUUCAUACUCAAGAGGAGGCUUUUUGAGUGAACUCAAGUUGUUUGCAUUGGGCAGAAUAUAUUCAUUGGCCAACUUACAUCUAAAGCCCCUUAAUGCAAUUCCCAUCCACUUGAACACUUGGGUUUUCGCCUUAAAACUCAACUUAAACUUUUCCUAAAAAUGAGUCCAUAACGUCUCCUUGAUGUCUAGUGGCACUUUCCUCCAAUCAUCAUAGAUAAUUGGAACUCUUUCCCGUACAAUCACCCCAAUGUAGUUCCUCAGAUCAUUUCUCUUUUUUCCAACUGGAACUCCGUAGGAAUUGUACAUAACCUCAGUGUCGUCACUAGCUCCUCUCUGCAGGUCUUUCUUCUUUGUAAGGUUUCGUCUUGGUCUUCCUUCUAGAUCUGGAUCAAAUGUUGGCUCCUCUUUUUCUGCCAUGUCUCCAACAAACCUGCAAAUACAUCAAAGUGGAUGAGUGCACCAGAUACCAAUCUAAUAUCCCAAUAUAAUAAUAAAAUAAUAAAAAACAAAUUUGUUGGUGACUUACGGGGAGUAGUGGUAAUAAGGCAUAGUAAUUGGAUUAUUCAUUUUCCGCACCAAUAAUUACAAGAAAAACAUCAACAACUACUCUGACACAAACUCCUCAUCACCCAAACCUAACUUACAUUCUGGAAAAUUGUUGGAUAAUGGUGCAUACUCAUCGAUGCCAUCACACAAGUCCUCAUUUGAAUAAUUACAUUUUGAGCUCACUGAACAAACAACUGAUUUACUAUUAUCUAACUGAUCUUUUACAUAAAACACUUGCUUUGCAUGACCAGCUAGAAUGAAACAAUCAGAUUUGUAGCCUAUUCGAUCUAAAUUGACUACAGUGAACCCUAACUCAUCAACAUUAACCCCUUUAUCAUCUACCCAAUCGCACUUGAAAAGUACGUUCUUAACCCCCAGAUAAUCAAGUUGCCAAAUUUCACUGACAACCCCAUAAAAAGGCAUAUCCCCAGAAUGAGGAUUUUUGUCUUUCGAACUUGAAAUCUGUAAAGUGUUAUCAACUACAUAAACGCUACUGUUUUGUGUUAUGCGGUUGCUGUCCCGAUCUCUUGUAGCAAAAUUAAAACCAUUAAUACAAUAGCCAUCAUAUGUAACCACGCUUGAGCGGGGUUUGUUUGCCAGCCACCAUACUUUUUCGUCAACCACUUCCUUAUUUGCUUUAUCAGUUGUCACCUAUUGUUCAAUUAAUAAAAUCACAAUAAUUAGUUGAAAGAGAAAAGUUUGUGUGCUUUUACUUGGAUACUUUUAUUAGAUCUAAUGAAGUUAAUCUAACCUUUUGUUUCAGCCAAUCAGUAAACGUACGGGAGUGCUCGGUUGGCAACCAUAAAGGCUUUUUUAAUUGAUGAGGGUGUGUUGAUUGCAAUAAGGCCAAAUGCUCCCUAAAAUUAUACCAACAGAAUUAAUAAAAUUGAAAAAAAUUAACGAAAAAGAGGUUCAAAUUUUCAGUCACAUACUCUAUGUAUGGUUGAAUCUCGGGGGUGUUCACCAGAACACAUCGGUGCGCUUGCGCCAAUGUAAGGCCAUCAACCACCUUAAUAUUUGCACCUCCGAGUGGCCUUUCAACUGUAAAAUGAAUUAGACAACCAGUAGGUAGUCCGAUUGAUUUACAAUUUGAAAGGUAUUCAUCAUAAAAUUCAAGUGCUUCCUCAGCAAUAUAGCACUCUAUAAUGCAACCUUCAGGACGGUAUCGGUUGCGUACAUAGCCCUUUAUAGGUUUCAUUUUUCUCUCAAAUGGAUACAUCCAUCGAAGGUAAACCGGGCCACAUAAUCUAACUUCUUCAACUAUAUGGACUGUUAAAUGGACUAUUAUAUUGAAGAAGGCAGGUGGGAAAGAUUGUUCUAAAUUGUAUAAGGUGAUUGUAAGUUCUUUUUCCAAUUGGUCUAGAGAAUUGGGCUCUACUACCUUAGAACACAAAGAAUUAAAGAAGAGGCACAACCUGAUUAUGACAGAUCUGACAUUUAGAGGUAAACAAUUUUGAAUUGCUAAUGGUAAUAGUUGUUGCAUCAAUGUAUGAAAAUCAUGAGACUUAAGCCCGUGAAGACGACAAUCAUCCAUUGAAACAAUAUUUCUAAAAUUAGAACAAUAGCCAUCAGGAACUUUAACACUUUGCAAGGUUUCACAGAACAUUUUUUUUUCCUGCUUACUUAAAGUGUACGGGGCAGGGGGCAGGACUUUGUUUUGUUCAUCAGGAGCUAAUACAAUCAAUGCUUUGUUAAUUUUUUCUCUAAGGUCUGGAUGUGUAAGAUCUUUUCUAGCAUUAAUUCCAUCUUUUGUUUUCCCCGGUUGAUGGAGUAAUGUGCCAUAGAUGCUCUCGCAUACAUUUUUCUCAAUAUGCAUCACAUCUAGUUGAUGGCGAACUAACAAAUGUUCCCAAUAUUCUAAAUCAAAGAAGAUUGAUCUCUUUUUGUACAGCAAUUGAGCUACAUCCCCAUUACCCUCACCCUCACCUUUAAUCUCAUUAUCUCCCUGACCCUGACCCUGACCCUGACCCUCAACCUCACCCUCACCCUCACCCUCACCCUCACCCUCACCCUCACUCUCACCUUUACCCUUACUGUUACCCUCACCUUUACCCUUAUUGUGACCCUCAACCUCACCCCGUUUUCGCUUUUUUUGGACCUUUUUCCCAAACUUGGUGUCAAUGUCAGCCACCAAGUUUAAGAUAUUUGUACCAGACAAAGGCUUUGGAGAAUUUUCAAUAAACAGCCUAUGACCCAUAUAUGACAUUUUCCGACUAUGCGAUAGCCAACAUGCACAUGUGUUUAUCCAACAAACUGGACAACCAUAAUACCCCUUAACAGUACACUCAGACAGGUUUCCAUAAGCUGGAAAAUCACUAAUUGUCCACAUCAACACAGCUCGUAAAUUAAAAGUUUGUUUCCUAUAACCAUCAAACACAUCGACGCCUACAUCCCAUAGGAUUUUUAAGUCCUCAAUCAAUGGUGCUAGGUAUACAUCUAUGUCAUUUCCAGGUUGUUUAGGACCAGAUAUCAGUAGAGACAACAUCAUAAAUUUCCUCUUCAUACACAGCCACGGAGGAAGGUUAUAUGUUAUCAAUGUAACAGGCCAACAACUAUAAGUAGUGCUAAGUAUGCUGUGUGGGUUAAUCCCAUCAGAUGAUAAAGCGAACCGAAGAUUUCUCGGCUCUUGGGCAAAAUCAGGCCAUUUCUUGUCAAUUAACUGCCAAGUUGGUGAAUCUGCUGGGUGGCGAAGCUUGCCAUCUCUAAUUCUUUUAUUUUCAUGCCAUGUUAAGUUCUCAGUAGUUUGUGGUGAUUGCAACAUUCUUUUCAACCUAGGAAUUAUAGGAAAAAUACCAUAACACCUUUUUAGGGACCCCCUUUCUAAUUUUUUUUUAUCCAUCUUUUCUUAUUUGCCACCUAAAUGCUCCACACCUAGGGCAUUCACUAAGAUUCUUGAACUCAUUCCUAUAAAGAAUGCAAUCAUUUCGACAUGCAUGUAUUUUCUCAUAAUCUAAGCCUAAUAGCUUCAUUAUUUUUCUGGCCUCAUACAUGGACUUAGGCAAACUAUUAUCAUUUGGCAAUAUCUCAUUAAGCACUUCCAAUCAAACUGAAAACCCACUAUCAGACCAGCCAUAAAGUCCUUUUAUAUUGUACAGUUUCAUUAGACUCGAUAACUUUGAAUGCUUUGAACCUGGAUAUAGGGGCUUUUCAGCAUCUUCAAGCACAUUCUUAAAAGAACUAGGAUCUUUAUCACAAUGCUCAAAAGCAUCAUGAACCAUGUCAUCUACAUAACUAUAAUUCGGACAUCUAAAACGUUGAUUUUGUGGCUGGUCUUGGCAUUUUACAGAGGUAGGUUUCCGGUCCACCUCACCAUGCCAAUUCCAAACUAAAUAGUUUUCUAGAAAACCUUUUUUAAAUAGAUAUAGCCUCACUUGUUGAGGACUCAAAAACUCCAUAUUACAACAAGUGGUACAAGGACAUCUAAUUGACAUUCUAUUUUCAGAAUUAAGAAUGGCAAACUCCAAGAAAUCAUCAACCCCAUCACUAUACUCAUCAGACAAUCUAUCACAGAAUAUCCAAGUUUUGUCCAUAACUUGUAUUGUUACCUGUUCAUUUGUUAGAUGUUGUUAGUUUAAUAAGUUUACUUAAAUUGCACAAAUAACUCCAAACUUUAGGUUUAAAUUAAAAAAUACAAAUUUCAAAAUAAAUCUAAAUUCUAUUUGUUUAGAGUCACUUAAAUAUAUGUACGCAUUCAACAACCCAACAGAGCAUAUAUGUAAGCAUUCAGCAACCCAACAGAGCAUAUAUAUAAGCAUUCAGCAACCCAACAGAGCAUACAUGUACACAUUCAACAAGCCAACAGAGCAUACAUGUACACAUUCACCAAGCCAGCAAAUCUAACUUACAUGUACACAUUCAGCAAGCCAACAAAACAUGCCAUAUCCACAUUUUUCAAAAUUUCUUUUUCAUAUUAGAACAAACAAAAGUAUAUAUUAGAAUAAAAAAAAUUAUUCCAGAACAGUCUAUGCAACAAAAACGAAAGUAAAACUAUGCAUGUCAAUAUUUAAAACAUGUCAGUACAAGUAAAACUCAGAACACAACGAUAAUAUAAAUUGAAAGUAAGUGAGUGAUUUAAAAGAAUUACCAAAUGAAGACAGCCGUUACACCGUAAACUUUUGUGAUUCUUCAAAAGCGACAGAUUGUUAAUUAUUAUGUCAGAGAGCUGUACAAGGGAAAUCACAUAAAAAAAUAUUAAGGACAAUACUUGUUGUUGAAGGGUUUGCAUGUGAGAUAUUGCAUUUAUACUAAGUCUAGCAAGUGCAUUACAGGGAAAGGAUUGAUGAAUUGACCCUUUGUUAAUAUUUAUCUUUAUCAAGCGCUAAUUAAAUGGAACAAGUUAGGCCCAAAAUUAAAAGCAUCAUGCAAAAUUUAAAAUGCAAUUUCGAGAAAUGGGGAAAAUGAGAAAAACCCAAAUCUACAUUGACAUUGUAUCCAUCAAUUCCAGUUAAAGUGUACAUGAAAUUCAAAGUCCAGUGACAUGGCAACUAAAGAAUGAGACGAAAGAAAACUGAUUUGAAUCAGACACUUAUAAAACUACUCUUAGUUAAAGACUCUAGUACAAUAAUUCAAAUUCAGUUAACUUUACCUCUCUGUUAGGUUUUCCCAGGUCCCAAAUUAUAAACAAUCAAGAUUACAAAAAAAAACUAAGAAUUUUAAAACUCAUCUACAGUUAAACCGCAACAAAACAACAUGCAUAAGGAAAAUAGGCACUGUAAAUUGGAAACAUAAUAAUUAAAAAUAAUUAAAAAUAAUUAAAAAUAAAUAAAAAUGAAUAAAUGACACCUUCAUAAACGAAUUUAUUGCAGUGAAGAGAGAGAGACAGAGAGAACCAAAUCGUGAUAGAAAUGAAUUCCUCUGCUUUGAGCUUGGUUGGGAUCGACGUGAAGUUUGAUUACAAUGAGGGAUAUGAUUUUAGGGUUUGGUUUACUUAGCUUUGACAGAGAAUGAGAACCGAGUGGUGAAAGACUAAUGAGUGAAUGACUUAGAAAAAAAUUAGCUUCGAUUUUGGUCUUAGGGUUGAAUAAAACGAUGCGUUUUACUUAUCUUUAUUUUUCCUAAGUGAAACGAUACCGUUUUUAACUGAAAAUAUAUUAUUUACUAGUAAAUUUUCAGCCAAAACCCGCUAAAAUUUUCACUGAGCCGCACUCAAUACAUUUCAAGUGCUUCAUAUUAAAAUUAUAAUAUUCUACUAAUUCAGUAGCAUAACUAACAAAAAGUCAGAACGGUUUCAAUUUUAAACUUAAAGGCUUUGGCUUUGGAAAGUCCUGGGUUCGAAAUCAGUUUGGAACGAAAUUUAAAUUUUAGUUUCUUUUACUAAUACCUUAGUGUCACCAAGAUAAAGACCAAUGGUCUUUUUCUUAAACUUAAAUGUUCCGAUGUUCGAGGUCCCAGGUUCGAAUUCCAUCCGUUACAUGAUUAGAAUUAUUUUAUUUUUAUUACUAAUACUUUAGUGUCAGCAAUUUCUUAUGUCCAAAUUGCAGACACCAUAGUAUCAUUAAUUUGUGAUACAUAUGUGUUAAACACGGAAAAUGACCCAUAUGUAUACAAAUACUGAUACUUUGUAAUAAAGUGUCACAAACCAAGUGUCAGUAAAGACCAUUUUUCUAGUAGUGAAUGAAGCCAGCAGCUAAUGCUCCUUAAAUUUGAUCGUGGUACUGGGGGCCUUGGAGGCAAACUAUUGGCUAGCCUACUGAUGAAUUUCCUUUUUGCCCACUUGAGCAAUUGCCAAGGCAGCAAAUAUGCUCGAUGUGAGCAAUACCGUGAAAACUGAGUGACCUAGAGCAUUGAACAAAAUCAAUAAGGCUUAUACAAUCUCAAUUAUGAUUUACUAGCUUUGUUCUACGCAGAGUAGGUUCUAAAUUACGUGGGGCAAUGGGCAAAAUUUUUUUACAAGGCCUUUGAGUAUUAACACUUAAAGAAACGUAAAACAUCUUAAAAUGCAAUCAAUUUUUGACAUCUUGAAUACUAAUAAUAGACAACAUAGUAAGAAAUUUCAAAAAGAAAAAUUGUCUAGAAAAUAUUUUUUUUUUACUUCUUUCAAAAUUUAUUUUUCAAGCAAAUAUAUAUAUUUUUUUUUACUUCAAAAGUGGACCAAUAAACAUACUAGUGUUCCUUUUAGGGAAAGGUGCUAGGAAUUUUAUAUGUUAAAUAUUCAAUUUUUUUAAACUCAGAAAAACUUUAAUGGUUGUUCUUGGUAUAACUAAUAACGAAAAAUAUUAUUAACCAUAGCUCAUUAGCAAUAAUGCUAUCGAAUAUAGAAUUUGUGUAAAAAUUCUUAAUAGUAGAAUAAUUAUUAAUUAAAAAGAGGCCUAAAAAAUAAGCUUUCCUUUUGUAAGUAUAACGUAAAAUAUUUAUUAAUUUGCCAUAUCAAGAAAAUACUAAAAGAAAAAAAUCUUCUUAACAUAUUUUACCUAGACAACCACAAUUGAGCCAUUCUAACAUUUGUUUAAAGCCUUAGGCAACAGCCUGGUUCACCUAUAUUUAAAGCCACCCAUAUAUGCUAGGAAAGCGGCUCUUACCACAUACAAAGGAUUAACUAAUCCCCAAAUCAGACUAUAUGAAAGGAAUAAACAUAACCAUAAAGCCAUAGAUGCUAACAACUGCAUUUGCUAUUAAAAAAUGCAAAUUAAAAAACCUUAUGAUAAUUUAUAAAGCAUACAUAACAUUUAAUUUUAUUAUAUAACUCACUUAAAUGCUGACAUGGCACUGUACUUAGCUUCAAAUGAUGACACUGCAACGAAGGUAGCUCCUCAUGGCUUAUAGCCAUGACAAUCGUAGCAGAAAAAGGUGUUGCCCCAAAGGCCGUUAGCCUCAGUAGAAAUGUGUAUAGCCUCGUGAUGAACAUUUGAUGAUACAAUUACUUGUAGUGACAAAUUGAUAUGUAAUGAGCAAGAAUUCGAAGUAACAAUAGUAGUGGAGAUAAAAGAAUUUAGAGAAGACAGUAGUUUUGGGAAAAUAAUCUUUUUUUUCGUCCUACCCUAUUUAGACAUCUAUUUGGCUUUUUACAAAAGCCAAUGGGAGCAUACAAUUCCAUUACUAAGUACUAACUACUUAUAACCCACAAAAGAUACACACAAACUCAAUAAUGCAUGAUAUACGUAAAUAAUGGGAAAGAUGGGUAAUAUUGCACAUGUAGUAAGUGGUACACAAGUUCAGAACCCAUUUAUUUUCAAAACAAGCUAAAAACUAAGUCCAGACAUGGUACAAGUACGUGGGAUGUAUGGUUGGCUCUUGCUAGUUACCUGGACACAUAUCACAAACUUGUUGAUUUGGAAAAUUAAGGUUAUAUAAACUAAAGAAAAAAGUUUAAGGUUGAUUUGAACCAAAACAUUUAGUUAAUGGAAAACACAUGAGUAUAUAGAGUUAAGAAGGCAGAUGAACACAUAUGUUGGGAUACUUUGUUAGUUGAGAUGCUCAACUAUCACCAUCACCAUUCACUACAAGUUUUCAAAUUUUUUUUUUUUUUUGGGCUAAAUGUAUAGACUUUCGAUUGCCCAAUAUGUGCAAGCCUUUUCUUUUCUUUUUUGUCGGCUCUAUCAGCCAUUUGAUACAAGAGGGGAAAAAUUUUAAUCAAUCUAAUGGAAGGAUAAAAUCAAAUCCUAUAAACGGUAAGGAACAUUGAUGAUUUAUUUAAAAUUGUUGAACGAAUCUUACUAAUGGAUCAUGAGGGUUGAUCUAUCAUUAUCUCAAUCCCCUCAUUUAUACAAGCCAACUUAACCAAGUGUACGUAAUUGAUUUUUGUUUUCUAAAAUAAUUUCCUUGCAAUUUAAUAAGAAAGUCUUAUGCACGAACCACCUGAUAAAACCAAAUGAAGGGUAAUGUAAGCUUAUGUAGGGUCUUUAUCUUAAAAAACUAGCUUGACGAUUGAUGUAAAGUGUAAAAAUCUAAUUAAAAAACUAAACAAAAUAAUAACACUAAAAAUGAUAAUAUUAAUUAAAUGUACACUGAAAUUGCUUUCAUAAUGCAACACGAUAUUAAAAUAAAUAGUUAAUGCAAAAAAACGCAGCAUGUUUUAUUUUCCUUAUUUAUGGAAUCUUUCAAUUCCAUUAAAGUCACUGUGGCAAGUUUCUCAAUAUUCAUUCAUAUAAAUAGAGGCUCAUGACUUUUUGAUUUUUACACAUCUCCUUUAAUUCUAAUUAAGUUGCUUACAAUUCACUUAAUAGAAAAUGUCGAACAGUCUUAGUUUCAUCAUCUUGGCUUUGCUUGUAGUGGCAAACACGAAAAGCACACUUAUUACAGCCACUAGUUUUAGCCAAGGAUAUCACCCAGAUGCUUCAUUUUCUAAUAAUCCCGCAGCAUCACCUGAAAUUGUUGAUUGCUCAGGGCUUACAAGGGAAGAGUGUUUGAUCGAGAAGUCAAAGAACGCUCUCAGAGACUAUAAAUACUACUGCCCCCCGGGGGGAUGCAAAUGAUUUUGAUAAUCAGCUAUUUCAUUUGUCUUUUAUGAAUGCUUUUACAAUAAUGAUCAAUUUCAGUGAAAUUGAAAUUGUGUUUUAAUAAAAGAAGAAAUUAAUUCA